rnacentral:lncRNA from 1 species
GGGCAUCUCUCAGCGGGCAGCAUUUCAGCAACAUUCAGCGGUACUACAGGAGGGUUACAACGCUAUUUGUCAUGGGUGCUCCAUGUUGAACAUUGUAAUCAAUCUCCAUGAUGGGAUGUAGUAACUGAGCUGAUGAUAUUUUUUUGAACUACAGAUCUGUUUACAGCAGGUUGAUAAUAACUUACCUGCAUGCCAAGAAUCUUUUUACGUCUUGGAUCAUAGGCAAGGUUAUGAUAAAUUGUUUGUUGAGGAAUUUUUAUGGUACACCUUAGUAAUGUACUGUUCUUGGUGUCUCUGAAUCUGCUAUGGGUGCAUGUGCUCUGUGUGCAAUAAUUCAGGCCUUUUUUUUGAGGAAAAUAAUUCAGGCCUUGUGUUGCUGAUGGAAUGAUGACCAUAUGCAAACAGUAUGUUUCCACCCUUUGCUAGCCUUUUCCAAUAUUACUCCUCAAGAACUCAAGCCGUUGUUUUACAAUCCUCUAUCCACCCUUUGUACACAUAUUAUGGCUAAUAUGUUGUUGUUGAGCCAUCAAGUUUCUUCAUAUUAUGCUCUUUUCAACUCCAACGGAUCAUGGUAGCUUCGGGCGACAUAGGGUGGCCCGCUAGGUAAUUGGGACGUUUAAAAAACGAAUAUAUGGUUUGACCAAGCGAAACAUCCUAGUAUUAUGCGAACCACGACUCUUUUCACCCGCUUAGAGCAACUCCAACGCAAGGACCCAAACGAACACCGAUUUUAUCCGUUUCGUGUCCGUUUGGAUUACCUGUCCGCCUAGUGGACAUAGGGCGGACAAGCCUUGUAUCCAACGCACGUCGACCCAAAACUCUCCGCGCCGCCCGCCCCCUCCUCUCUCCCUCGCGCCGCCCGCCCCCUCCUCUCUNNNNNNNNNNNNNNNNNNNNNNNNNNNNNNNNNNNNNNNNNNNNNNNNNNNNNNNNNNNNNNNNNNNNNNNNNNNNNNNNNNNNNNNNNNNNNNNNNNNNNNNNNNNNNNNNNNNNNNNNNNNNNNNNNNNNNNNNNNNNNNNNNNNNNNNNNNNNNNNNNNNNNNNNNNNNNNNNNNNNNNNNNNNNNNNNNNNNNNNNNNNNNNNNNNNNNNNNNNNNNNNNNNNNNNNNNNNNNNNNNNNNNNNNNNNNNNNNNNNNNNNNNNNNNNNNNNNNNNNNNNNNNNNNNNNNNNNNNNNNNNNNNNNNNNNNNNNNNNNNNNNNNNNNNNNNNNNNNNNNNNNNNNNNNNNNNNNNNNNNNNNNNNNNNNNNNNNNNNNNNNNNNNNNNNNNNNNNNNNNNNNNNNNNNNNNNNNNNNNNNNNNNNNNNNNNNNNNNNNNNNNNNNNNNNNNNNNNNNNNNNNNNNNNNNNNNNNNNNNNNNNNNNNNNNNNNNNNNNNNNNNNNNNNNNNNNNNNNNNNNNNNNNNNNNNNNNNNNNNNNNNNNNNNNNNNNNNNNNNNNNNNNNNNNNNNNNNNNNNNNNNNNNNNNNNNNNNNNNNNNNNCGCGGAGGAGCGGCCGAGCGCGCGUUGGCGACCUGUGCCGACGGCCUCGCUGCGGCGCGGAGGAGCGGUCGAGCGCGCAUCGGCGACCUGCGCCGGUGGCCUUGCUGCGGUGCGGAGGAGCGGCCGAGCGCGCGGUGGAGACCAGCACCGGUGGCCUUGCUGCGGGCGUUGCAGUCGCUGACAUAUGGGACCAGGGGCGGACACGAGCGGGCGAUGGCGGUGGACGAGAGCGUCCGCUUCCGUCCGCUUCGUACCCAUUUGUUCCCAGAUUUGGGUCAGGUUUGGGUCGGGGACGGACAGCAGGCGGACACGGACGUCCGUUUGGAUCGCCCCGUUGGGCCAAGUUUUCUGUCCGGAUGACCCAAACGGACAAAAUGGGUCCUUCCAUUGGAGUUGCUCUUAUGUUCUCUCUACUAACCAUCAUGCUUUUCUCGUCAAAUGGCCUUCUCCACCCUCACUCUAGAAAAAGACGUGGUGUGUCUUCCACACCCCUUUGGUUUGCCAUUGCUUCGCUCAUUCAUCACCCCCUCCACUUUACUCGCUCCCUCUUCAUCUAUAACUCGCCCAAAUAACCACAUUAAUUACUAUGUUUACAACGGAUGGUGGUCCACUAAGCUCUUCACCUCAUGAGAUAUGUGCGGCGAAGACAGGCGUUCUUCAUCCUCUCACCUUAAAUCAGUAUUCGAAUAAAAACCUCAAAGGCCUUGCGGCUUUACUGUAAGCCACGCGUCCGUGGAAGGGAAGCCCGGCGAUAGGAUCUGCCUCCGGUGUCAUGAAAAGCUCUUCUGUUGGAUAAGCAUCAACUACUCAUGAUGCUUUUGUCGCAUCACGAUGAGCCUUUUGGCAUUGUGGACAAGAACAAAAAAAUUAUCCUUUUUGCUAGGAAAACACUCAGAUAAGAAUGAGAAGAAAAAAUCAUUGUUAUCUCUUUUCUUAUAUGCUAAAAUGGACAAAAGUAGUGAACAAUAGUACAUCAGUCAUUUUGUUGUAUGAUUUUGAAUCCAGUUUGUUUCCAAAUGCAUGUACAAAUGUCUUGUUGCAUCGUAUCAUAAAAUUUGAUUGAAUUUGACCGGGCUAUUAAAAUGUAAAACAUGCCACAAAUGGUUUGUUGUGACUUGUGAGCUAAGAAUACAAAAUUCAAAUGGCAAACAAGCACUUCAAAUACCAAUUUGAUACAUCAUGCAAAUAGUCAUAAAACGUUCGAGUAAGUAUGAAGACUCCACAACAAUACCCCCAUAGUCUUGUGACAAAGCCAUAUACAUUCAAGAGGGCUCUAUCUAUCGCCAAAUAUGAACAAUAUUAAAACUUAAAUUGAACUUAGCAUGCCAAAUCCAAAUAACUGCAAAAUCCCAUUUUGUGAUUAGAGAACAAACUACCCAUUGGAGAAAAAAGACAAAGUUUACCUCUUAUGGAGAAUGACCUACACCACAACCUUGUUCAUGGGAUUCAUGGGUAUGGUCAGACUUGGCAGAAAUUGGUGGAAGUUGUCAAGUACGUUUGUAAACCCCGCCUACAUUCAAAAUAAGUUUUAAAUAUAACAAAUGCAAUUCCCCUUGAAUGUAGUCACAUAAGACACCACAUGUUCGGUGCCACUGCCCAAUGACUUGUCAAGCUGACAUCACAAGCCAAAUAAGCUCACAUAUUCGACACUACUAGCCACACAUUUGUCACACUGGCUUUGCAAGCCAUGAAACGAUGAUAGAAACCACCACCGUCAAGUGCGGCCACACAUAUUGUUCAUGUGCAUGCAACAGGUUAUGCAUGGUAUAAUAACCAACUCAUCCUCAUCACAAAGUUGGCACGCACAUACCUUUUGCCGACUUGGAUGUAGGAUGGGCGGUAUUUCCUAGCUACGAGACGCUUUAAGUGGAGAUAACCGCGGGACCGAAGAAGAAGUUCUUAGAUGAUGGGGUAAGUGAUGUGUGAUGACCUAACAUGAAUACAUGGUUUCCUCAGACCCGUGUCUCCAUGGCCAGUCAUGAAAUGUGAAAACGGGACGAUGGCAUGACGGCACAGCUGGGUCUACAACGAAACAUCUAGCCGACCACUAUGCACUGACGCGGCUGCCUCGUAGCCCCAAAGGGGCUCCAUCAUCGUCCUUUUGCGGUACCAACAUUCAAGAAGCAAGGGGAGAGGGACGCAACUGCACGCGGGAACUAGAUAGAGGGAUAUAACAACCAAGGGCGAUGACGGCUGGCGUGAGGGUGGAGCCAUCGUGGCUAGACCGAGGAUCGUGGCAGAUCAAGGGCCACUACAUGGAAACGGAACGCGAUCAUUGAUUGCUCUUGGUUGGAAAACCAUAUUGCGAUGGCAACUACAAACUGAUGCAUGCGCGGACCAGCUAGGGAGAGGGGAUGCCCGUUCGCAUGAUCUAGGAGCGGUUUUCCUAUACGACUGCCAUUUAGAAAAGGCAUCAAUCAAACCAACGUCUUUUCUCAAAUACGCACGAGCAUGCGUAUCAUUCAUUAAAGAGGAGGGGGAAGAAGGGAAGAACCCCGAAGUAACCAAUGUACACUGUGUAUUUACAUGCCGGCUAUUCCGACACUACCAAGAAAACGAGAAAAGCUACUAGCCCGGAGCUGCCCACCUAACUACCUCUGCAUUUUGGGCCACCUUGCCAAACAAGCCUGCCUUGGUCCAGGCCUCCCAUUCAUCCAUGAUCCGCUGCUUGAGGAGAGCUACUGAUGGCGUUAUACCAUUGAACACCACGUCGUUCCUGUGCUUCCAGAGCAUCCAAAAGACUAGAAGAGAGGUUGCUCUUGUAGUUUUCAGGUUUAUGGCCAGUAGGUCCUGCCUGAUACCAUCAAACCAACGUCUUUAUUGCACGUCGCGGGCUCACGGGGUUUUAUAAAAGCCCGUGAAUCUGUUAUCUUGGGGUUUAUGAAGAGCGGCGAGGAUGAGGUGUGAAACCAUGAAUAAACCACCACCACCGGUUUCCUGAAUACUCCCUCCAUCCGUAAACAUAAGUCUUUCUAGAGAUUCCGAUAUGGAUUACAUAUGGAGCAAAAUGAGUGAAUCUACACUCUGAACUACGUCUAUAUACAUCCAUAUUAAAAUCCUUAAAAAAUAUUUAUAUUUAGGAAUAGUAGUAGAGUAGUAAAUACCAUGGUCCAUGGCACAGGCCAAAGCUGUGUAGUGUACCAUGUGUCCCAUACUACCUGAAUCUGUAUUGUGGGGUUGACUGAAGUUUCUGAAGCCGGUGGGCAGAAGGUGCGGCAGGCCCACAGUUUCAACGCCAUAAAACCACACGGGUCACGGGCGGUGGGGCGACGCGAUGGGAAUAUUUUAUUUUAUUUUAUUUCCCUUCCUCGCCGAGGAGAACCAGGAAAAAAAAAUUAGUGUUAGCUCCAACCCGUAACGCCAGUCCUUUCUCCCCCCGCGGCGAUCGCCGGAGAGGAGAGGAGCGGAGGGGAUGGACGCGGCGGCGCCGUCGCGGCGCGCGGGGCCGAGGCGGGACAGGCCCCUCAUCCCGCCCAACUACGUCAGCCUCCGGGACCUCCAGGAGCUCCGCCUCAAGGAGCAGGCCGAGCGGCGGCGGCGCCAGGAGGAGGAGGAGGCCGCCGCCAGGAGGGAGGCCGAGCAGGAGGAGGAGGAGCGGCGGCUGCGGAAGGAGGCGGAGGAGCAGGCCGCCGCGAGGAGGGCCAAGGAGGAGGAGGCCGUGGCGGCGAGGAGGGUUAGGGAUGCGGCGGCGGCGGCGGAGAUGAAGGGCUCCUCCUCCUCGUCGCGUGCCCCCUUCAGGUAUAAUGAGAGGCCCCGCGCAGGGCCGCGCGGGGAGGGUUCGGCCCUGAAUAGUGGUGGCGCCGCGGGAGGCAGCAAGGGGCCGGGCGGCGACGCGGCCGAUGGAACCCUAGGCGGCGGAGGUGGAGGCAGGGCGCGGGAUGAGGGGAAGGGCAAGGCCUCUGCGGGCUUGAUUGCCGGCGACCCAGCCGAGACAGCUACCAGCGGCAAGCCGAACGAGAAGAGCAAUGGGGAGGCCUCUGGAUGUCAGGGCACCGCAUUGGGGACGAGCAGCGUGCCAGGCGAGCUGGCCGAGGUGGACACUGCUUCAUACCGAGGCGGCGUCAAGCCGAGGUACAAGAACAAGGGGAAGAAGGGUUUCGAUGGCCGGAGCACAGAGACAGCCAUGACCGGCUCUUUGGUUGAGGUGGUGAAGGCAUCGCCACCGCGAGUCGUUGAUUCGGAGAACAAGGGGAAUGCUGGAUCGAGUAAUCAGAGCACUGGAAAAGCUUCGGCAAGCUCACAGGGCGAGGCAGCUGAGGAUUCACCACUGCAGGGAGUCAAGUCGGAUAACAAGUGGAAUAAGAAGAACAAACCCUCAGGAGGAAGGCAGGCGGGCGCACCACCGAGCGGCGAUUGGCCGAACAGGAGGAGGGACCAGCCUCGUCCGUCCGCUGAGGGUAGCCGCGGCCGGAGGAAUGGCGAUGGUCAAGGAGCCGUAUGGGAAGUAAAAUCCGAUGGCCUUGGGGGAAAGCAGCCGGAGGUGGAGGGGAAGGCCCACUCGCAUCUGCCCACUGAGAGCAGCAGUAACAGAAGGAGGGGCAGUGGUCAAGGAAUGACCAGGAAGGGAAAAUUUGAAGACUCUGGGGAGAAGGAGCUGGUGGUUGAGAUGAGGGCGCAUCCGCAUCCAGCUGCUGACAGCAGUAGCUAUCAAAGCAGCAGCGGUGAUCAAGGAAUGGCCGGGAAGGCAAGAUCUGAGGACUUCGGGGAUAAGCAGCCGGUGGGAAGGAGCAGCGGUGAUCAAGGGAUGAACCAGGAGGCAAAAUCUGAGCGCUUCGAGGAGAAGCAGUCGGCUGUGGAGAUGAGAGCUGUAAAGACCUACCGUGGGCAGCGGCCUGGCGGUUGCAGCCGAGUGAAUGGCACCACAAGGCAGCCCGGCAGCAUCUGGGUUCCAAAGGCUGCUGCUGUCCCAGUCCGCACCGAAGUCGGAAACAUUCCAUAGACAGGAAGUAUAUAUAGUAGUAAUAUGUGGCAAGAUGUGCCAGUGGUAGAUUUUCGACAAAUGAAGGUGCUAAAUCCUAUUUAUAAAUAGGAAGUGCAUGUAGAAUGUAGGUGCCCAUGUAGGGCCGGCGGGCUUUGAGAUUGCCAAAUUGGUUUGCCAGACUUUGAUAUUUGCUAGAUUGGUUCUGCGGUAAUAAAAAUAUUGUAAUCUCUGUAGAUUCCUGCUGUAAUUAAAUCAUUGCAAUAUUUUGGUGGAAUUUGCACAAGAUCCUUGCAUUCCAAACAUAUUGCAUAAACAAAAAGGCAUGGCAUUGCAGGUGAGGAUGGUGAAUUGGAAUUGACUUGUAUGUGCAGUACAUUCACUGAUCAUUGUGAAAUUUACUGACUGAUGCAGAGUUCAACUCUGAAAACUGAAGCAUGUUUCCUCAUUUCAAUUCCUCAUGUUACUUAGCGAGUGGCGCCGCAAGGCAGCACUGCGGCAUCUGGCUGCCCAUGGUUACUGCUGUGCUGGUCCGUUACGAAGUCGGAAACUUUCCAUAGACGGGAAGUAUAUUUAGUACUAAUAUAUGUGGUAACAUGUGCCAGUGGUAGAUUUUCAAGUAAUGAAGGUGCUAGAUCUUUUUUAUAAAUAUUAAGUGCAUGUAGAAUAUAGGCGUCCAUGUAGGGUUUGUGGGCUUUGAAAUUGUCAAAUUGGUUUGCUGGACUUAGCUAUUGCCAGAUUGGUUUUAGAGUAAUAUUGUAAUCUCUGUAGAUUCCUUCUGCAAUUAAAUCAUUGUCAUUUUUGUGUGAAACUGGCACAAGAUUCUUGGGUUCCAAACAGAUCGCAUAAACAAAAAGGCAUGGAAUUGCAGGUGAGGAUGGUGAACUAGAAUUAACUGAUUUACUGACUGAUGCAUGUUUCCUCAAUUCAAUUCCUCAUGAAACCUAUACAUUCUGCUGUUUCUGGUUUUACUGACUGAUACCUGUUUCCUCAAUCCAAUUCCUCAUGGAAGGUAUACAUCUGCUGUUGCCAGUCAGCGAUAAAAUCAAGCUACAAGGUGUUUGUGUUCUGCUAUGUUUGUGUUCUGCUAUUUCAAAUCAGAGACAAGACAAAAGCAAAAGGGUUAAACUGGUGUAGAAGCAUUGCUAGCUCCCCUUGGUUGAUAUGAGAGUAUCCUCAUCCGAAUAUCACAGUGAGUAUGCUGCAUUUCUCAUCCAAAAUGUUUUGCAUGCUAGAAUCAAAACAUCACAUAUUGCUGCAUAUACUGAUGAUCCCCUGAAUCACCGUCUAAUUUCUACUUCCCAUCGCUUCAUCCUCGCACUGUUACCUCCCCUAAAGCGAGGGGAAGUACCUGCUCAUACCAUAUGGUAGAGCGUAGAACUCCUCGCUUCUGCCGUCAUGCCUGUAGGACUUGAAUUUCUCCAACCACAGCCAGCCCCUGUCCCUCCUCACAUGGGGUUCCCAGUAGAGGUGUGUGCAAUCGAGAAGGUAGGCAAGUAUGGCAGCAACAGUCGCGGGCGAGGAGAAUAUCACGUUGACAAUGACAUUGAACUGAAAUUUCAAUGAAUAAGAUGGUGUAGGUAGUGAUCAGUGUGAAAGUUAUAUUUAUAAUAACUAGGUUGUGUCACCCUGUAGUUGAGUCUACAUACCGCUAGUGAACGUGUGUGAGCUGGUCCAAAGCCGUAGAAUGUCUCAAACUCCCGGAAGUACUGUGGUAUGGAUAGCCCCAGGAACAAGGAGAUGCCGAGUAUAAACUUGCUUCUCCGGGUGUUAAGGUUGCAGUAUUGAAGGAAGCAGAGGCCUGCAGCAGCUGUUUCAGGCAGAAAACAAGAUCAACAAAAUAAAAAUGUUAUGAACAUUCGAGGAUUUGAUUCCAUAAAAUUCUGGUGGAUUGUUAUGUAAUGCUCACCUGAAUAAGCAAAGAGAACACAGUAGAGUGCAGAGAAAAUUGGCAAUGGGAUAGAUGCAAGAAUUGCCCCAAAUUUUCCUGUUGAUUGUUAAGCCAUGUCACCCAAAUUAAGUCGCUGACUAUAAAUGGUGAUCACUGAUCACUGAUAGCGCUGAAAGAUUCAGAGAAUAGGAUCACUACCAAACAGCGAGAAGAAGAUCAUGAACAAAGCUGAAAUCUUGAUGACUCGUCUGCUUCCAACUCGCGUCAAGGCCAGUAGACCGCAGUUCUCACUACACAAUAUAACAAUGACAAUCAGUUAGAUAUUUCAUUUAGGUGAUUUCUGAGCAAUGAUUCUUAGCAGGCUAAAGUACUAGAGUAGAUGUAGAGCUCAUUACACUGAAGCUGCUGUGCCUGUCAACGUACCGCACAUCCCAUCUAGUAUGAUAGAUAUACCCUGAUAGUUUGGAAGUUGCUUAGCAGUGAGUGUGCUGGAAGCAAAAUAUUCACGAGAAAAUUCAAGCAUUUAGUCGUGUUAUUCAAGUACCUGCCAGCCAAUUCCACGAGCGAAAACUGAAGGCGGGACGAAUGUCGCGCCUGCGUAUCUUGACACUGCGAUUAGUGUGCCAGUAGACUGAAAGUAAAAUUGUUCAUCAGACUAAACCCAAGAAAUUCCUUGCACCUAAUGCUACUCUGUUUUGCAGAAUUGCGGCGAUCCGAUACAGUCCCAGUCUCACUGAAGUGCAGAACUGAAGAUGUGUAUGUACCUCAAUAAGCGAAGCGAAGGAAGCGGCCAUCAUGGCGAAGCAGUCUUGCGCGCAGAAGAUGGGGUAUCCCCACUGGAACGGGUAAGGGAACCUGACCCUGCUCAUGGCAGAAGCAACAGGAUGCGUAUGUCAGUGAGCCACUCCAAGGAGCAUGAAGACUAGGCAGUAAGGCUUCAGAGUCAGAGGCCAUACCAGGGCGCGGCAUGGAUGAGGCCGGAGCUGUCGGUGCGGCAGCUGAACUGCGUCACGGGGUUCCUCUCGUCGUAUGCGCCGGCCGCCGUCAGUAUCUCGGCGAAGAUCCACACGAUGAUCACCGUCACCAGCACCGCGCACCGGCCGAACACGAAGCUCCCUUUGGCAAAGUAAUGGGACGCGUACUGCAAGGGCAAAAGAAGAGAAGGUGGUCAGGAAAUGCAUUCUCAGUUACAAAUCUAGUCUAGAGAAAAACAGACCAAUCUCUCAUGAUACCUCUGAGAAUAUUAGGAGCAGAACGAGCGUCGGGAGACCGAUCUCGAUGCAUUUGGCGACCUGCAGAACAGCCAAAGUGUGUUGACAGAAUUCAGAGACUGAAUCAAGAGGGGAACAAUCCAAGCAAAAAGCAACAGCGAGUGGCAACAAUCAUGGCAUCAAGAGCUCCUGUCUUUACCCCUGGGAAGGCGAAGUAGAAGAGGCCGAGCGCGGAGAGCGUGACGAAGGGGACAGCGGCGAGGGGGCUCAGGAACCUGGCAACAAGUAACAGAGAGAAGAACAAGCAGCGUCAGUGCAACAAGUAACAGAGAGAAGGGGGCUCAGGAACCUGGCACGAGAAGCACAAGCAGCGUCAGUGCAACAAGUAACAGAGAGAAGGUAUUGAUGGGGAUCGGAGACGGUGGCGUGAGGCAGCGAGCGAGGAAUUGUCGGACAACCUUAUGAAGACCCUCCAUAUGCCGAAGAAGCCGAUGACGGCCUGGAAGACGCCGGCGAUGAUGAGCGCGCCCUGGAGCGACCGCAUGGUGUACACAAACCUCUGAAAGAAAACGGCAUCGGUCGAUCAGUCAGUCAGUCGUGCAGCCGCCAGCUGCUGCGGUGCAGGACCAGGACGGGACGGGACAGAGCAGCAGGGAGAAGUGCAGAAACGGGGGCCGGACCUCGAAAGGGGCGCCGAUGAAGAGGAUGUAUCUUGGGCUGAUGAUGAUGGCGACGGCGGCGUAGAUGUAGGUGAAGGAGCCGCCCAUGACGGCGGGGAGCCGCGUGCCGAAGUGCACCUGCAGGAGCGUGUUGAUCCCGGCCAGGAAGAGGAUGGUCUGGAUCACGAUCGCCUUCUCCUCCUGCAAUGCAUGCGGCACGAGCUCGGUCGUCAGGACGAGGAGCACAGGGGCACCAUGACAGGACGGAAGGGAUGGAAGAUGAGGCUCACAUGGCCGCCGCCCAUGAUGGGGACGAGGAUGGUGGCGAUGAUGACGGUGGUGCCGAGCAUGACCAGGUAGUGCUGGAACGCGACGACCACCGUGGUGACUGCGGCAAGGGAGAAGAAGCAGGGACGUCAGUCAGAACUCGGAAGGAACCACUGGUGAACCGGCCUAGCUACCGGCUGCGGAUGAGUGAGCGGCGAGGGCACGCACUCCAUGGCGGCGGGCUGGUGAUGCAGUAGUCGAGCUCGGCGUACUGCUCCCUGCAGGGGUGCGGCACCAGGUCCUCGGCCUUGACGGGCGACAUGGCGCCGGCCGGCCGGCGAGCGGCGAGGAGGGGAAGGCGAAGGGGGCGGGGUCAGUUUACAGUGUAGUGAAGCGGCUGAUGGUGGUGGAAGAAACGCAGGCGCGCCUCCAUUUAUAUAGCCGGUGGCCUCUCCCGCUUCCUCUGUCCGUGCGUUUCGUCAUGUCGCUGUGCGCUUUACCACGUCUGUGUCGGUGGAUGAGCCGCCUCUUCUGUUCUCUUAGUGUCAAAAAAAAAAUGUCUUACAUCUUGGGACGGAGGGAGUAGUUAAUCGUACGAAUCGCAGUAACUUUGGAACUGUACGAAUUGCAGUGGAUUUUUAGUACGAACGAUGUCGUUCGCUCCAAGAGGCUCUAGCCAGACGCCCUGCGCCCUUUUCCCUUUUCCUCACACACACCGCUAGAGGCUUGCCAUGCUAUAAAGAGUUAUAAAUUGCCACGUUGCACAACGUAGUCGUCGCUAGGUGGUCUACGGAUAUGGAUGUAAUUUUUAUUAUUUCUAGUGUUCGUUGUACUGUCAUGAUAGGAGAUGAAUAGAUUGCAAUUUUUCUCGCAAAAAAAAGAAAGAAUUUGUCAUGCUGCAGCAAAGGAACUUGCCGUGUGUUCAGUGGUAGAAAAAGAUCGCCAUGUUAUAACCAAAAGAUUUACCUUGAUACAACAGAGUAAGUCGACACGCAUGUUCAGGAGCUGCCAUGCUACAGCAGAAAAAAAAUGUAAUUGUCAUGCAAUGCAGAGAAGUUGUUGUGCUCUGGACGUUUGUUCGCGCCGUUUGGAUCGUUCGCUCCAGGAGGCCCAAACGAGCGAGCAAUACGCGCGCGAUGCAGCCUAGAGCAUUCGUUCGGACGACCCCUCCCAGAGCACGUUCGCUAUAUAACAUUUUGCAAAAAGGAAAGAAGGAAAAGAUAUACGUGCAUCGAGAGAGUUUCAUCAGUGGUUGACCCUCGCUCGCUCGAUCGAAGCCGUUAGCCAGAGAUGGGGCCAGGCGCCGUUUGGAGAGACGAGGACAAGACUGGGUAGCUUUUAGGUAGGAAAAAAAUAUUGAGGUCCAGCCAUGCAUCAUCGUCCCCGUCCCGUUACGUACGUACCCUCCCCGCUUUGCUUUGCUUUCCCACGUUGUUAGAUGGGGUUGGCGAACUAGCUAGCUUGGGUCUGGUUUCCCUCAAAAAAAAAAAAAGAAGAAANNNNNNNNNNNNNNNNNNNNNNNNNNNNNNNNNNNNNNNNNNNNNNNNNNNNNNNNNNNNNNNNNNNNNNNNNNNNNNNNNNNNNNNNNNNNNNNNNNNNNNNNNNNNNNNNNNNNNNNNNNNNNNNNNNNNNNNNNNNNNNNNNNNNNNNNNNNNNNNNNNNNNNNNNNNNNNNNNNNNNNNNNNNNNNNNNNNNNNNNNNNNNNNNNNNNNNNNNNNNNNNNNNNNNNNNNNNNNNNNNNNNNNNNNNNNNNNNNNNNNNNAAGAAGAAAAAAAGCUAGCUUGGGUCUGGUGUGCAGUCCCAACUCCCGUUCUACUUCCACAUGCAUCACGGUUGCUUCCGCCGGCCGGCCGUGCGCCUGUCCAUCAGCCGGAUCGGAAGUGCGUAUUUUAUGUGGCGUGGUUGGAGUUGGAAUGGUGGUUCUGGGGUUGCAGCGACCGGCCGGAGCAAGAGCAAGGAAGGAUGCGUUAUGUGGAAGCUACGAGUGGGUGGUGGGACGAUAAGACAGUAGGCGUAUGACACAAACUGAUCGAUCGAUCGAGACGGCAUGGGAUUAGUUGGGUAGAUGCUGGCUGCUGCGCCAAUGGAUGCCGCCGUCGCUAUGCGUUUGUCUCUGAGAACGGCAUAAUUCAGGGCUCUAGCUAUAGUAUACCUUUUUCUUUUGCGGGGCAAUUAGGCCUGGGCUAGUAGCUUUUUUUAUAGACAAUCUUGGGCUAGUAGCUGGUAAUAUAACUACACUCGGCUAGAUAGGCUGAUCAUGGGCGUCAAAACUCCAAACGGGAUUUCAAUGAGCUAGUCAAAUCUCGGAAAAGCUAUAUCCCGCCUCCUACGAGACAGAAUGAGCCGUCUGUGUUUGGGUCUUGUUUCGAAAGAAGUGGGCAUUGGCGCCGUGAACCUUUCGCCCGGUUUUAAGAAGGUUUCGAUCAUUUUUUUUUCUAUUUCCCUUCUUUCUGGUGUUUCCUCUGUUUUUUUCCUGUUUUUUCAAAAAUAGUUUUUUUCUUCUGCAUUUUUCAUAUGCUAUGAGCAUUUUUCAAAAAUUAUGCGAACAAAAGUUUACCUUUCAUGAGCAUAUUUUAACAUGCGAACAUUUUUUAAAUGUCAUGAACACUCUUUUGAAUGAUACAAACAUUUUUUCAGGUUACACAAACAAAAUUUUAUGUUUUCAUGGUAUUGUUUUAAUUGUCGAACACAUUUUUAAACGGGUGAACUUUUAUAUGUCACAUUUUUUUUUCAAUUUGCACGAAUGAUUUUCUACACUUGAUCAACAUUUGCUAAAAUUAGUAAAAUAGGAAAAAAUAGCAUGUAUCAUGGAAAACUGUGGCAUGCAUGCUGGGAAAAACCAUGGCGCACUAGCCCUUUUCAUGUUUUGAGUCGUGGUGUAUUACCCCCGUGAAAGAAAUUUGCAUGCUUUUUAUGUCAGCCCCAACGCAUCUCCGUGUAGGCGAGGCAAGGAGGAUCAGGCCAGCUACAAGCGAGACAUAUAGCAUGCCGUCAAAUCUAUCGCGGCUGCUAUUUCUUGCCCGUUGCGGACAUAACUGAGACUAGCCUCUAGUCCCUGCCUUACAGGGUAGGCCCAGUAAUGUAGCAUUAGUGUGAGUUUUAUUCUGAAUUUUCUUUUUCAGUUUUUUCACACUUUGCAUCCUUUUUUUUUCGGUUGUUCUCUUUGGUUUUUUCCGUUCUCAUUUUUUCUUUGGUUUUCCUUGUUUCUUUCUUCAGUUUUCAUCUUUUUCUUUAUUUUUUUAACACAUGUCUAUUUUUUCACACACAUAGUACAUUUUUCAUAUACAUCAGAAACAUUGUUAUGCAUGUUUAACAUUUUUUAAAUACAUUAUUAAUAUUUUUAAAAUAUGUUUUGUUUUAUAAUAUUUUCAUACACAUUGUAUAGUUUUCAUAUACGUCUAAAACAUUUUUUAUGCAAGUUAAAUAUGUUAUACAUAAAUAAUUAAUAUUUUCAAAUAUUGUUUGUAUUUUUUAAAUAUAUGUUAAUUUGUAUUUAAAUACACGUCAAAACGUUUUUAUGAAUGAUACAACUAUGCAAUAAUUUUUACAUUGUAUAAACAUUUUUUAAAUGUCACAAACAUAGUCCCUCCAUUCCUAAAUAUAAGCCUUUUUACGGAUUUCAAUAUGGACUACAUAGGGAUGUAUAUAGACAUAGUUUAUUGUGUAAAUUCACUCAUUUUGCUCCAUAUGUACUCCAUAUUGAAAUCUCCAAAAAAGACUUAUAUUUAGAAACGAAUGUAUUAUUUUUGAAACACACAAACUUUUUAAAAAUGAUUUUUUUAAUGUUAAAAAACACUUUCUUAAUUAGACAAAUAUUUUUAUUACAUUGCAUAACAUUUUUAAAAAAUGUCACAUAUAUUUUCUUGUAGCACAUGAACAUUUAUUAAAUAUCCCAUAUAUAUUUUUGAAUUGUACAAACAUUUUCCAAAAGUAGGACAAACAUACAUUUUACACUGCAUGAACAUAUUUUUAAUGUGCGUUGAAUGAUUUAAAAAAAUAUUAUUAUUUUAUAAUAUAUGUAUUUAAUAAUUUUCAAAAUAUAAAGAAAAUUAUAAAAAUAAAAGAAAGCCACAUGUGAGAGACAUCAACAUGUCGAAUCCACAUGACAAUUGGGUCGACCCACUACUGGCUCCGAGUAGGUGAGUAGUGCUAUUGCCUUGCAUAAAGGGAGACAUAGCCACGCCCCAAUCUAUGUCCAUGGUGUAAUUCAAGGGAAAAUAGAGUAUCAGUCUGAUAUGGUCGCACUAACAAACCCCAGCCCUGUGUGGUAAUGAAACAUAACCAGACCAUGAGCAUGUAUGUAUUUUUGUUUGAAUCACUAAUUGAGAAGUACUCCUUUCAAAAAUCACUUCCACCUUCCAGGUUGUGACAAGUGGCGUGCUGCAUGUGCGUCACUUGUCGCAACCUUUAAGUUUUUCUUUUUUUUCGUAGAUCCGUUUAUGCAAAACUUUUUAUCUUUAAACCGUGCGUCUAAAUUUUGAAUCAUUUUCACUGUUGCAUUCAUUGUGUUGAGAUCUUCAAAACUAGAUCACAUGUCGAUAUGUUUUGACGAACUCUUUUUCCAGAAAAAAACUACACCUGGGAGCAGGUGUUUUUUUUCUUUCCGAAAGCCGUUUCUGAGAGGCACACCCGUGCUUCUCACAGAAAAAAAAGAAAGCACUUUUUUUCAUUUUCGAGAGGCACGGUCGUUCCUCUCGCGGAAGCAAAUCCAAGGCACGCAAAAGAAAACAAAAUGUUUUUCCCGUUUUCGAGAGGCUCGCGGAAGCAAAACCAUGCAUCUCACGGAAGCAAAACUAUGCCUCUCGUGAAAGUAAAAAAAGUGUUUUAUCCGUUUUCGAGAGGCAUGGCCGUGCCUUCCCGGAAGCAAAACUGUGCCUCUCGCGAAAAAAAAGAAAAUACAUUUUUUCUUUCUAAGAGGUGCCUUUCGUGAAAGCAAAAAAGAAACAGUUUUUUCGUGCAAUUCUUUUCCAGAAAAAAUUUGGUCGAAGGAAAGACCGAUGGAAAACCAAAAAGAAAAAAACAACAACAGAAAAAGCAUCUAAAAAGCCAAAAAUACGUGUGAAAAAAUAAAUCCGAAGAGAGCGCCUAAAGCGCGACAUGUGGCAGCCGCUGAGAACGCGCCAACUGGCGCGUUCUUAGCCUACCCCAAGUGACCCUUGGGGAGGCUCUCCUGAGUUUGUUGCUCCCACUUUUGUUGCUAUGCCAUACCCAAACAUCAACAAGUAGUCAUGCAGAUUAGGCUAGGUUAUAUUCUUCGCAUUAGUUAUGUUUCAUAUCCAUGUGACCCUUCCACAUCAGGAAUUCAUGCAUGCCAACCAUAAUUUUUUUUAAAUAGUUGCAAAUCCGUUACAUAUUUUCAUAUACAUGCAACCAUGACACGUCAGCAAGCCAUGCAUGUUAAUCAUAAGUUGCCUUUUUUGCACUAAUUAUCUUUUCUAUUCAUGAAACUCUACUACAUUAGCAAGUCACGCAUUCUAGUCAUAAGUUACUUUUUUUUCAUAAAUUUUAUGUUGUCAUGCGUACUACAUGUGUUGGACAUUCGGAGCGUACAGAUAUAGUUCAUGCUUCAUAAUUUUGUUAGAAAAUGAAAUUCUGUCAACUGCAAAAUAUGUUUCUCUUUUUAUACAUACUUUUGUUACAUGCUUCAAAUUUUGUUUUUAUUUGUCGUUUGUUAAAAAUGCAAGUGGAGAACACUCUUACAUUGGCUUUGCAUUAGUAUCAAUUGAUUUUCUGUAGCACCUAUUUAUGCAUUUCUUCCAACAAGGUAUCCGCAACAACACACGGGAUAACAUCCAUAUGUUUCAACUAAACACUUAUUUCACAUGAAAAUAUUCAUGUGUUUACUAAAAAGGAAUAAAAACUAAAUUUGAAAUUCAUGUAUAAUAAAUCUAGCGUUCAUGUAUCAUAAAAGUAGAUAAAUAAUAUCACGAGUCAAUAAGAUAACCUAAAAAUUACUAUAAUGAUAACUAAAAGCAAAAGCAUAACAACAGGAAUAUAUAAAUAACGAAGAAAAAACAUAAAAAUAAUAAAAGAAAGGAUUACAGAAGAUAUAAGAGCAUCUAUAGCCGGGCGCCUNNNNNNNNNNNNNNNNNNNNNNNNNNNNNNNNNNNNNNNNNNNNNNNNNNNNNNNNNNNNNNNNNNNNNNNNNNNNNNNNNNNNNNNNNNNNNNNNNNNNNNNNNNNNNNNNNNNNNNNNNNNNNNNNNNNNNNNNNNNNNNNNNNNNNNNNNNNNNNNNNNNNNNNNNNNNNNNNNNNNNNNNNNAGUGACCGGUCAAAAAAAGCCGACCUAGACGGGCGUCAAACGCUCGGGCUGAUUGGCACCCCUCAUAUGCUAGCCCUGUUGGGGAACGUAGUAAUUUCAAAAAAAUUCCUACGCACGCGCAAGAACAUGAUGAUGCGUAGCAACGAGAGAGGAGAGUGUUGUCUACGUACCCUCGUAGACCGUAAGUGGAAGCGUUAGCACAAUGCGAUUGAUGUAGUCGUACGUCUUCACGGCCCGACUGAUCAAGCACCGAAACUACGGCACCUCCGAGUUCUAGCACAUGUUCAGCUCGAUGACGAUCCCCGGACUCCGAUCCAGCAGAAUGUCGGGGAAGAGUUCCGUCAGUACGACGGCGUGGUGACGAUCUUGAUGUUCUACCGUCGCAGGGCUUCGCCUAAGCACCGCUAUCGAGGAUUAUGGUGGAGGAGGGCACCACACACGGCUAAUAGAUCUCAAGGAUCAAUUGUUGUGUCUAUGGGGUGCCCCUUGGCCACGUAUAUAAAGGAGUGGAGGAGGGGGGAGAGGGCCGGCCCCUAUGGCACGCCCUGGAGGAGUCCUACUCCCACCGGGAGUAGGAUUCCCCCCUUCCAAAUAGUAGGAGUAGGAGUCAAGGCAAGGGAAGGGAGAAGAGAAGGAAGGAGGGGGCGCAGCCCCUCCCCCUAGUCCAAUUCGGACUAGGCCUUGGGGGGGGGGGGCACCCAACCUCUCCUCUCUCUUUCCCCUAAAGCCCAAUAAGGCCCAUAUACUCCCCGGCGAAUUCCCGUAACUCUCUAGUACUCCGAAAAAUACCCGAAUCACUCGGAACCUUUCCGAUGUCCGAAUAUAGUCGUCCAAUAUAUCGAUCUUUACGUCUCGACCAUUUUGAGACUCCUCGUCAUGUCCCCGAUCUCAUCCGGGACUCCGAACUCCUUCAGUACAUCAAAACUCAUAAACUCAUAAUAUAACUGUCAUCGAAACCUUAAGCGUGCGGACCCUACGGGUUCGAGAACUAUGUAGACAUGAUCGAGACACGUCUCCGGUCAAUAACCAAUAGCGGAACCUGGAUGCUCAUAUUAGCUCCUACAUAUUCUACGAAGAUCUUUAUCGGUCAGACCGCAUAACAACAUACGUUGUUCCCUUUGUCAUCGGUAUGUUACUUGCCCGAGAUUCGAUCGUCGGUAUCUCAAUACCUAGUUCAAUCUCGUUACCGGCAAGUCUCUUUACUCAUUCUGUAAUACAUCAUCCUGCAACUAACUCAUUAGUUGCAAUGCUUGCAAGGCUUAAGUGAUGUGCAUUACCGAGAGGGCCCAAAGAUACCUCUCCGACAAUCGAAGUGACAAAUCCUAAUCUCGAAAUACGCCAACCCAACAAGUACCUUCGGAGACACCUGUAGAGCACCUUUAUAAUCACCCAGUUACGUUGUGACGUUUGGUAGCACACAAAGUGUUUCUCUGGUAAACGGGAGUUGCAUAAUCUCAUAGUCAUAGGAACAUGUAUAAGUCAUGAAGAAAGCAAUAGCAACAAACUAAACAAUCAAGUGCUAUGCUAACGGAAUGGGUCAAGUCAAUCACAUCAUUCUCUAAUGAUGUGACCCCGUUAAUCAAAUGACAACUCAUGUCUAUGGCUAGGAAACUUAAUCAUCUUUGAUUCAACGAGCUAGUCAAGUAGAGGCAUACUAGUGACACUCUGUUUGUCUAUGUAUUCACACAUGUAUUAUGUUUCCGGUUAAUACAAUUCUAGCAUGAAUAAUAAACAUUUAUCAUGAAAUAAGGAAAUAAAUAAUAACUUUAUCAUUGCCUCUAGGCCAUAUUUCCUUCAGUCUCCCACUUGCAUUAGAGUCAAUAAUCUAGUUCACAUCACCAUGUGAUUUAACAUCAAUAGUUCACAUCAUCAUGUGAUUAACACCCAUAGUUCAGAUCGACAUGUGACCAACACCCAAAGGGUUUACUAGAGUCAAUAAUCUAGUUCACAUCGCUAUGUGAUUAACACCCAAAGAGUACUAAGGUGUGAUCAUGUUUUGCUUGUGAGAGAAGUUUAGUCAACGGGUCUGCCAUAAUCAGAUCCGUACGUACUUUGAAAAUUUCUAUGUCAACAAUGCUCUGCACGGAGCUACUCUAGCUAAUUGCUCCCACUUUCAAUAUGUAUCCAGAUUGAGACUUAGAGUCAUCUGGAUUAGUGUCAAAACUUGCAUCGACGUAACCCUUUACGACGAACCUUUUGUCACCUCCAUAAUCGAGAAACAUAUCCUUAUUCCACUAAGGAUAAUUUUGACCAAUGUCCAGUGAUCUACUCCUAGAUCACUAUUGUACUCCUUUGCUAAACUCAGGGCAGGGUAUACAAUAGGUCUGGUACACAGCAUGACAUACUUUAUAAAACCUAUGGCUGAGGCAUAGGGAAUGACUUUCAUUCUCUCUCUAUCUUCUGCCGUGGUCGGGCUUUGAGUCUUACUCAAUUUCACACCUUGUAACACAGGUAAGAACUCUUUCUUUGACUGUUCCAUUUUGAAUUACUUCAAAAUCUUGUCAAGGUAUGCACUCAUUGAAAAAACUUAUCAAGCGUAUUAAUCUAUCUCUAUAGAUCUUGAUGCUCAAUAUGUAAGCAGCUUCACCGAGGUCUUUCUUUGAAAAACUCCUUUCAAACAUUCCUUUAUGCUUUGCAGAAUAAUUCUACAUUAUCUCCGAUCAACAAUAUGUCAUUCACAUAUACUUAUCAGAAAUGUUGUAGUGCUCCCACUCACUUUCUUGUAAAUACAGGCUUUGCCACAAGUCUGUAUAAAAUUAUAUGCUUUGAUCAACUUAUCAAAGCGUAUAUUCCAACUCUGAGAUGCUUGCACCAGUCCAUAGAUGGAUCGCUGGAGCUUGCAUAUUUUGUUAGUACCUUUAGGAUUGACAUAACUUUCUGGUUGCAUCAUAUACAACUCUUCUUUAAUAAAUCCAUUAAGGAAUGCAAUUUUGUUUAUCCACUUGCCACAUUUCAUAAAAUGCGGUAAUUGCUAACAUGAUUCGGACAGACUUAAGCAUAGAUACGAGUGUGAAACUCUCAUCGUAGUCAACACCUUGAACUUGUCGAAAACCUUUUGCGACAAUUCUAGCUUUGUAGAUAGUAACACUACUAUCAGCGUCCGUCUUCCUCUUGAAGAUCCAUUUAAUCUCAGUGACUCGCCGAUCAUUGGGCAAGUCAAUCAAAGUCCAUACUUUGUUCUCAUACAUGGAUCUCAUCUCAGAUUUCAUGGCCUCAAACCAUUUUGCGGAAUCUGGGCUCAUCAUCGCUUCCUCAUAGUUCGUAGGUUCGUCAUGGUCAAGUAACAUGACCUCUAGAAUAGGAUUACUGUACCACUCUGGUGCGGAUCUCACUCUGGUUUACCUACAAGGUUUGGUAGUAACUUGAUCUGAAGUUACAUGAUCAUCAUCAUUAGCUUCCUCACUAAUUGGUGUAGUAGUCACAGGAACAAAUUUCUGUGAUGAACUACUUUCCAAUAAGGGAGCAGGUACAGUUACCUCAUCAAGUUCUACUUUCCUCCCACUCACUUCUUUCGAGAGAAACUCCUUUUCUAGAAAGGAUCCAUUCAAAGCAACGAAUAUACUGCCUUCGGAUCUGUGAUAGAAGGUGUACCCAACAUUUUCUUUUGGGUAUCCUAUGAAGACGCACUUCUCCGAUUUGGGUUAGAGCUUAUCGGGUUGAAACUUUUUCACAUAAGCAUUGCAACCUCAAACUUUUAAGAAACGACAGCUUAGGUUUCUUGCCAAACCAUAGUUCAUACGGUGUCGUCUCAACGGAUUUAGAUGGUGCCCUAUUUAACGUGAAUGCAGCUGUCUCUAGUGCAUAACCCCAAAAUGAUAGUGGUAGAUCGGUAAGAGACAUCAUAGAUCGCACCAUAUCUAAUAAAGUACGGUUAUGAUGUUCGGACACACCAUUACACUGUGGUGUUCCAGGUGGCGUGAGUAGUGAAAGUAUUUCACAUUGUUUUUAACUGAAGGCCAAACUCGUAACUCAAAUAUUUUACUUCUGCGAUCAUAUCAUAGAAACUUUUAUUUUUGUUACGAUGAUUAUCCACUUCAUUCUGAAAUUCUUUGAACUUUUCAAAUGUUUCAGACUUGUGUUUCAUCAAGUAGAUAUACUCAUAUCUGCUCAAAUCUUCUGUGAAGAUCAGAAAAUAAUGAUACCUGCCAUGAGCCUCAAUAUUCAUCGGACCACAUACAUCAGUAUGUAUGAUUUACAACAAAUCUGUUGCUCGCUCCAUUGUUCCGGAGAACGGAGUCUUAGUUAUCUUGCCCAUGAGGCAUGGUUCGCAAGCAUCAACUGAUUCAUAAUCAAGUGAUUCCAAAAGCCCAUCAACAUGGAUUUUCUUCAUGCGCUUUACACCAAUAUGACCUAAACGGCAGUGCCAAAAAUAAGUUGCACCAUCAUUAUUAACUUUGCAUCUUUUGGUUUCAAUAUUGUGAAUAUGUGUAUCACUACGGUCGAGAUCCAACGAACCAUUUUCAUUGGGUGUGUAACCAUAUAAGGUUUUAUUCAUGUAAACAGAACAACAAUUUAUUCUCUUACUUAAAUGAAUAACCGUAUUGCAAUAAACAUGAUCAAAUCAUAUUCAUGCUCAACGCAAACACCAAAUAACACUUAUUUAGGUUCAACACUAAUCCCAAAAGUAUAGGGAGUGUGCGAUGAUGAUCAUAUCAAUCUUGGAACCACUUCCAACACACAUCGUCACUUCACCCUUAACUAGUCUAUGUUCAUUCUGCAACUCCCGUUUUGAGUUACUGCUCUUAGCAACUGAACCAGUAUCAAAUACCGAGGGUUUGCUAUGAACACUAGUAAAAUACACAUCAAUAAUCUGUAUAUCAAAUAUACCUUUGUUCACUUUGCCAUCCUUCUUAUCCGCCAAAUACUUGGGGCAGUUCCGCUUCCAGUGACCAGUCCCUUUGCAGUAGAAGCACUUAGUCUUAGGCUUAGGACCAGACUUGGGCUUCUUCACUUGAGCAACAACUUGCUUGCCAUUCUUAUUGAAGUUCCCCUUCUUCCCUUUGCCCUUUUCUUGAAACUAGUGGUCUUGUCUACCAUCAACACUUGAUAUUUUUCUUGAUUUCUACUUUCGUUGAUUUCAGCAUUACGAAGAGCUUGGGAAUCGUUUCCGUUAUCCCUUGCAUAUCAUAGUUCAUCACGAAGUUCUACUAACUUGGUGAUGGUGACUAGAGAAUUCUGUCAAUCACUAUUUUAUCUGGAAGAUUGACUCCCACUUGAUUCAAGUGAUUGUAGUACCCAGACAAUCUGAGCACAUGUUCACUACCUGAGCUAUUCUCCUCCAUUUUUUAGCUAUAGAACUUGCUGGAGACUUCAUAUCUCUCAACUCGGGUAUUUGCUUGAAAUAUUAACUUCAACUCCUGGAACAUCUCAUAUGGUCCAUGACGUUCAAAACAUCUUUGAAGUCCCGAUUCUAAGCCGUUUAAGCAUGGUGCACUAAACUAUCAAGUAGUCAUCAUAUUGAGCUAGCCAAAUGUUCAUAACAUCUGCAUCUACUCCUGCAAUAGGUUUGUCACCUAGCGGUGCAUCAAAGACAUAAUUCUUCUGUGCAGCAAUGAGGAUAAACCUCAGAUCAUGGAUCCAAUCCGCAUCAUUGCUACUAACAUCUUUCAACUUAGUUUUCUCUAGGAACACAUCAAAAAUAAAAGAGGGGAGCUAAAUGCGAGCUAUUGAUCUACAACAUAGAUAUGCUAAUACUACUAGGACUAAGUUCAUGAUAAAUUAAAGUUCAAUUAAUCAUAUUACUUAAGAACUCCCACUUAGAUAGACAUCCCUCUAAUCCUCUAAGUGAUCCCGUGAUCCAAAUCAACUAAACCAUGUCCGAUCAUCACGUGAGAUGGAGUAGUUUCAAUGGUGAACAUCACUAUGUUGAUCAUAUCUACUAUAUGAUUCACGCUCGACCUUUCGGUCUCCGUGUUCCGAGGCCAUAUAUGUUAUAUGCUAGGCUCGUCAAGUUUAACCUGAGUAUUCCGCGUGUGCAACUGUUUUGCACCCGUUGUAUUUGAACGUAGAGCCUAUCACACCCGAUCAUCACGUGGUGUCUCAGCACGAAGAACUUUCGCAACGGUGCAUACUCAGGGAGAACACUUGUACCUUGAUAAUUAAUGAGAGAUCAUCUUAUAAAGCUACCAUUGAACUAAGCAAAAUAAGAUGUAUAAAAGAUAAACAUCACAUGCAAUCAAAAUAUGUGACAUGAUAUGGCCAUCAUCAUCUUGUGCCUUUGAUCUCCAUCUCCAAAGCAUCGUCAUGAUCUCCAUCGUCACCGGCAUGACACCAUGAUCUCUAUCAUCUUGAUCUAUAUCAAUGUGUCGUCACAUGGUUGUCUCGCCAACAAUUGCUCUUGCAACUAUUGCUAUCGCACAACGAUAAAGUAAAGCAAUUAUUUGGCGCUUGCAUCUUAUGUGAUAGAGAGACAACCACAAGGCUUCUGCCAGUUGCCGAUAACUUCAACAAAACAUGCUCAUCUUAUACAACAACUUAUAUCUUAUCACAUCUUGACCAUAUCACAUCACAACAUGCCCUGCAAAAACAAGUUAGACGCCCUCUACUUUGUUGUUGCAAGUUUUACGUGAUCACUUAGAGGAUUAGAGGGAUUUUCAAAGGAAGACCUGGAUAAAGCUGCUUACAUAUUGGGCAUCAAGAUCUAUAGAGAUAGAUCAAAACGCCUGAUGAUACUUUCAAAGAACGCACACCUUGACAUGUUUUUGAAGGAGUUCAAAAUAGAUCAGUCAAAGAAGGGGUUCUUACUUGAGUUGUAAGGUGUGAAGUUGAGUAAGACUCAAAGCUUGACCACGACAGAAGAAAGAGGAAGGACGAAGGUCGUCCCCUAUGCUCUUGUCAUAGGAUCUAUACGGUAUGCCAUGCUAAGUACCGCACCUGAUGUGUGCCUUCCCACAUGUCUGGCAAGAGGGUACAAAGGUGAUCUAGGACUGGAUCACCAGAUAGCGGUCAAAAUUGUCCUUAGAGGAAUAAGGAAAUAUUUCUCGGUUAUGGAGGUGAUAAAGAGUUCGACGUAAAGAGUUACAUCGAUGCAAGCUUAACACCUAUCCGGAUAGCUCUGGGUAGAGAUACCAGAUACGUAUAAUGGAGCAACAAUUUGGAAUAGCUCCCAGUGGAACGUGGUAGCAGCAUCUAUGAUAUGACAUAAAGUUUUGCGAAAUACAUAGGGAUCUAAAUAUGGCAAGACCCGUUGACUACAACCUCUCUCACAAGCAUAACAUGAUCAAACCCAGAACUCAUUGAGUGUUAAUCACAUAGUGAUGUGAACUAGAUUAUUGAGUCUAGUAAACUCUUUGGAUGUUGGUCACAUGGCGAUGUGACCUGUGAGUGUUAAUCACAUGGCGAUGUGAACUAGAUUAUUGACUCUAGUGCAAGUGGGAGACUGUUGGAAAUAUGCCCUAGAGGCAAUAAUAAAUUGGUUAUUAUUAUAUUUCCUUGUUCAUGAUAAUCGCUUAUUAUCCAUGCUAGAAUUGUAUUGAUAGGAAACUCAGAUACAUGUGUGGAUACAUAGACAACACCAUGUCCCUAGUAAGCCUCUAGUUGACUAGCUUGUUGAUCAAUAGAUGGUUACGGUUUCCUGACCAUGGACAUUGGAUGUCAUUGAUAACGGGAUCACAUCAUUAGGAGAAUGAUGUGAUGGACAAGACCCAAUCCUAAGCCUAGCACAAGAUUGUGUAGUUUGUUUGCUAAAGCUUUUCUAAUGUCAAGUAUCAUUUCCUUAGACCAUGAGAUUGUGCAACUCCCGGAUACCAUAGGAGUGCUUUGGGUGUGCCAAAUGUCACAACGUAACUGGGUGGCUAUAAAGGUACACUACAAGUAUCUCCGAAAGUGUCUGUUGGGUUGGCACGAAUCGAGACUGGGAUUUGUCACUCCGUGUAAACGGAGAGGUAUCUCUGGGCCCACUCGAUAGGACAUCAUCAUAAUGUGCACAAUGUGACCAAGGAGUUGAUCACGGGAUGAUGUGUUACAGAACGAGUAAAGAGACUUGCCGGUAACGAGAUUGAACAAGGUAUCAGGAUAUCGACGAUCAAAUCUCGGGCAAGUAUCAUACCGCUAGACAAAGGGAAUUGUAUACGGGAUUGAUUAAGUCCUUGACAUUGUGGUUCAUCCGAUGAGAUCAUCGUGGAGCAUGUGGGAGCCAACAUGGGUAUCCAGAUCCCGUUGUUGGUUAUUGACCGGAGAGUUGUCUCGGUCAUGUCUGCAUGACUCCCGAACCCGUAGGGUCUACACACUUAAGGUUCGAUGACGCUAGGGUUAUAGGGAAAGUAUGUACGCGGUUACCGAAUGUUGUUCGGAGUCCCGGAUGAGAUCCCGGACAUCACGAGGAGUUCCAGAAUGGUCCGGAGGUAAAGAUUUAUAUAUGGGAAGUCCUGUUUUGGUCACCAGAAAAGUUUCGGGUGCUAUCGGUAACGUAUCGGGACCAUCGGGAGGGUCCCGGGGGUCCACCAGGUGGGGCUACUUGCCCCAGAGGGCUGCGUGGGCCAAGUGUGAGAGGGGGCCAGCCCCAGGUGGGCUGGUGCGCCCCCCACCAGGGCCCAAGGCAAAGAGAGAAGGGAAAAGGGGGAAACCCUAGGCUCAAAUGGGCCUAAGGCCCACCUAGUGGUGCACCCCCCUCUCUCCCCCCUUGGCCGCCCCUAGAUGGGAUCUAGGGCUGGCCGCCACCCCUAGGGAGGGAACCCUAGGUGGGGGCGCAGCCCCUCCCCUCCCCCUAUAUAUACUUGAGCAAAGGGGCAGCCCAAGAUACGAUUCAAUCUCCCUGUUGGUGCAGCCCUACCCCUCUUCCUCCUCGUCUCUCGUAGUGCUUGGCAAAGCCCUGUUGGAUUCCCGUGCUCCUCCACCACCACCAUGCCGUCGUGCUGCUGCUGGAUGGAGUCUUCCCCAACCUCUCCUUAUCCCCUUGCUGGAUCAAGGCGUAGGAGACGUCACCGGGCUGUACAUGUGUUGAGCACGGAGGUGCCGUCCGUUCGGCACUACGAUCAUCGGUGAUUUGAAUCACGACGAGUAUGACUCCAUCAACCCCGUUCACUUGAACGCUUCCGCUUAGCAAUCUACAAGGGUAUGUAGAUGCACUCUCCUUCCCCUCGUUGCUAGAUUACUCCAUAGAUUGAUCUUGGUGAUGCGUAGAAAAUUUUGAAUUUCUGCUACGAUCCCCAACAGUGGUAUCAGAGCCAGGUCUGUGCGUAGUUUCUAUGCACGAGUAGAACACAAAGCAGUUGUGGGCGUCGAUAUUGUCAAUUACUUGCCGUUACUAGUCUUAUCUUGAUUCGGCGGCAUCGUGGGAUGAAGCAGCCCGGACCGACCUUACACGUACGCUUACGUGAGACUGGUUCCACCGACUGACAUGCACUAGUUGCAUAAGGUGGCUAGCGGGUGUCUGUUUCUCCCACUUUAGUCGGAUCGGAUUCGAUGAAAAGGGUCCUUAUGAAGGGUAAAUAGAAAUUGGCAUAUCACGUUGUGGUUUUCGCGUAGGUAAGAAACGUUCUUGCUAGAAACCUAUAGCAGCCACGUAAAUACUUGCAACAACAAUUAGAUGACGUCUAACUUGUUUUUGCAGCAUAUGCCUUGUGAUGUGAUAUGGCCAAAAGGAUGUGAUGAAUGAUAUAUGUGAUGUAUGAGAUUGAUCAUGUUCUUGUAAUAGGAAUCACGACUUGCAUGUCGAUGAGUAUGACAACCGGCAGGAGCCAUAGGAGUUGUCUUAAUUUAUUUAUGACCUGCGUGUCAACAUAAACGUCGUGUAAUUACUUUACUUUAUUGCUAAAGCGUUAGCCAUAGUAGUAGAAGUAAUAGAUGAUGAGACAACUUCAAGAAGACACGAUGAUGGAGAUCAUGAUGAUGGAGAUCAUGGUGUCAUGCCGGUGACAACGAUGAUCAUGGAGCCCCGAAGAUGGAGAUCAAAAGGAGCAAAAUGAUAUUGGCCAUAUCAUGUCACUAUUUGAUUGCAUGUGAUGUUUAUCAUGUUUUACAUCUUAUUUGCUUAGAACGACGGUAGCUUAAAUAAGAUGAUCCCUCACUAAAAUUUCAAGAAAGGUGUUCCCCCUAACUGUGCACCGUUGCGAAAGUUCGUCGUUUCGAAGCACCACGUGAUGAUCGGGUGUGAUAGAUUCUAACGUUCGAAUACAACGGGUGUAAGCCAGAUUUAUACACGCAAUACACUUAGGUUGACUUGACGAGCCUAGCAUGUACAGACAUGGCCUCGGAACACGGAAGACCGAAAGGUCGAGCAUGAGUCGUAUAGAAGAUAUGAUCAACAUGAAGAUGUUCACCGAUGUUGACUAGUCCGUCUCACAUGAUGAUCGGACACGGCCUAGUUGACUCGGAUCAUGUUUCACUUAGAUGACUAGAGGGAUGUCUAUCUGAGUGGGAGUUCAUUAGAUGAACUCAAUUAUCAUGAACAUAGUCUGAAUUGUCUUCGCAAAUAUGUUGUAGAUAAAUAGCUCACGUUGUAGCUCCCUGUUUCAAUACAUUCCUAGAGAAAGAUUAAGUUGAAAGAUAUUGUAAGCAAUGAUGCGGACUAGGUCCGUAGUCCGAGGAGUGUCCUCACUGCUACACAGAAGGCUUACGUCUUUGAUGCACCGCUCGAUGUGCAAACCCCUACAACGUCGUCUGUGGAUGUUGUGAACACCUGACAGACACAUCCUGAUGACUACUUGAUAGUUUAGUGCACCAUACUUUACGGCUUAGAAUCGGGAUUCCAAUGACAUUUUGAACGCCAUAGAACAUAUGAGAUGUUCCAAGAGCUGAAAUCGGGAUUUCAGGCUCAUGCCCGUGUUGAGAGGUGUGAGACCUCUGACAAGUUCUUUUGCCAACAAGAUGGAGGAGAAUAGCUCAGCUAAUGAGCAUGUGCUCAGAAUGUCUGGGUGCUACAAUCACUUAAAUCAAGUGGGAGUUAAACUUCCGGAUAAGAUAGUGAUUGAUAGAGUUCUCUAGCCACUAUCACUAAGCUACUAGAUCUUCGUGAUGAACUAUGACAUGCAAGGGAUGGAGUUGAUCCCGGAGCUGUUCGCGGUGCUUAAGACCGCAAAAGGUAGAAAUCAAGAAGGAGCAUCAAGUGUUGAUGGUUUAACAAGACCACUGGUUUCAAGAAGGGCAAGGGCUAGAAGGGAAACUUCAUGGAUGGCAAACCAGUUGCCGCUCCAGUGAAGGAACCCAAGGUUGAACCCAAACCCGAGACUAAGUGCUUCUAUUGUAAGGGGAACGGUCACUGGUAGCAGAAUUACCCCAAAUGCAUGGUAGAUAAGAAGGCUGGCAACUUCAACAAAGUAUAUACGUGUUAUUAAUGUGUACCUCACUAGUACUCCUGGUAGCAUCUAGGUAUUGGAUACCAGUUCAGUUGCUAUUAUUGGUGACUUGAAGCAAAAGCUACGGACUAAACGGAGACUGUCUAAGGGCGAGGUGACGAUGUGUGUUGGAAGUGUUUCCAAAGUUGAUGAGAUCACCAUCACACGCUCCAUCUGCCUUAGGGAUUAGUAUUGAACCUAGAUAAAUGUUAUCAGGUGUCUACGUUGAGCAUGUAUAUGAUUAGAUCAUGUUCAUUGCAAUACGGUUAUUCAUUUAAGUUAGAGAAUACUGGUUAUUCUGUUUACAUGAAUAAUACCUUUCAUGGUCAUGCACCCUAUGUGAAUGGUUCAUUGAAUCUCGGUCGUGGUAAUACACAUGUUCACGCCAAAAGAUGUAGAGUUAAUAAUGAUAGUACCACUUUCUUGUGGCACUGCCGCUUAGGUCAUAUUGGCGUAAGAUGCAUGAAGAAACUCCAUGUCGAUGGAUGUUUGGAGUCACUUGAUUUUGAAUCGCUUGACACAUGCGAGCCAUGCCUCAUAGGCAGGAUGACUAAGACCCCGUUUUCAGGUACAAACUUGUUGGAAAUCAUACAUGCUGAUGCGUGUGAUCCAAUGAGAAUUGAAGCGUGCGGUGCAUAUCGCUAUUUUCUCAUCUUCACUAACGAUUUGAGUAGAUAUAGGUAUAUUUACUUAAUGAAGCACAAGUCUGAAACGUUUGAAAAGUUCAAGCGAUUUCAGAGUGAAGUUAAGAAUCAUCAUAACAAGAAGACCAAAUUCCUACGAUCUGAUCAAUGAGAAUUUCUGAGUUAUGAGUUUGGCAAACACUUAAGACAUUGUGGAAUUGUUUCACAGUUGAAGCCACCUAGAACACCACAGGGUAAUGGUGUGUCCGGACGUCGUAAUCGAACCUUAUGAGAUAUGGUGCGAUCUAUGAUGUCUCUUACCGAUCUACCGUUUUCAUUUUGAGGUUAUGCGUUAGAGACAGCUGCAUUCAUUUUAGAUAGGACACCAUCUAAGUCCGUUGAGACGAUGUCGUAUGAACAUUGGUUUGGCAAGAAACCAAAGUUGUUGUUUCUUAAUGUUUGGGGCUGCGAUGCUUAAGGCUUCAGCCAGAGAAGCUCAAACCCAAAGCAGGCAAACACAUCUUCAUAGGAUACCCAAAGGUGACAGUUGGGUAUACCUUCUUCAGAUCCAAGGGCAAAUUGUUUGUCGCUAAGAACGGGUCCUUUCUCGAGAAGGAGUUUCUCUCGAAAGAAUUGAGUGGGAGGAAGAUAGAACUUGAUGAGGUUGUCGAACCUUUACUUCAACCAGAGAGUGAUGCAACAUAGAAAGAUGGUUUCUGUGGCGCCUAUGUCUGUUGAAUAGGAAGUUAAUGAUAGUGAUCAAGAAGCUUCGGAUCAAGUUGCUAUCGAACCUCGUAGGUCGACAAGGAUAUGUACUACUCCUAAGUGGUACGGUAAUCCUGUCUUAGAUAUCAUGUUGUUAGACAACAAUGAACCUACGAGCUAUGGAGAAGCGAUGGUGGGCCCGUAUUCCGACAAAUGGUUAGAAGCCAUGAAAUCCGAGAUAGGAUCCAUGUAUCAGAACAAAAUAUGGACUUUGGUGGACUUGCCCGUUGAUCGGCAAGCCAUUGAGAUAAAUGGAUCUUUAAGAAGAAGACGGACGUGGGCGGUAAUGUCACCUUCUAUAAAGCUCGACUUGUGGGAAAGAGUCUUUUUCACAAGUUCAAGGAGUUGACUACAAUGAGAAUUUCUCACCCGUAGCGAUGCUUAAGUCCGUCGGAAUCAUGUUAGCAUUAGCUGUAUUUUUCGAUUAUGAAAUCUGACAGAUGGAUGUCAAAACAAGUUUUCUUACCAGUUUUUGUAAGAAAGAGUUGUAUGUGAUACAAUCAAAGUUUUUGUCGAUCCUAAGGAUGCUAAAAGGUUUGCUAGCUCUAGCGAUCCGUCUAUGAACUAGAGCGAGCAUCUCGGAGUCGGAAUAUAUGCUUUGAUGGAGUGAUCAAAGCUUUUAGGUUUAUACAAUGUUUGCUAGAAACUUGUAUUUACAAGAAAGUGAGUGGGAGCACUACAACAUUUCUGAUAAGUAUAUGUGGAUGACAUAUUGUUGAUCCGAAAUAAUGUAGAAUUUCUGGAAAGCAUAAACGGUUGUUUGAAGAGUGAUUUUCAAAGGAAGACCUGGAUAAAGCUGCUUACAUAUUGGGCAUCAAGAUCUAUAGAGAUAGAUCAAAACGCCUGAUGAUACUUUCAAAGAAUGCACACCUUGACAUGUUUUUGAAGGAGUUCAAAAUAGAUCAGUCAAAGAAGGGGUUCUUACCUGAGUUGUAAGGUGUGAAGUUGAGUAAGACUCAAAGCUUGACCACGGCAGAAGAAAGAGGAAGGACGAAGGUCGUCCCCUAUGCUCUUGUCAUAGGAUCUAUACGGUAUGCCAUGCUAAGUACCGCACCUGAUGUGUGCCUUGCCACAUGUCUGGCAAGAGGGUACAAAGGUGAUCUAGGACUGGAUCACCAGAUAGCGGUCAAAAUUGUCCUUAGAGGAAUAAGGAAAUAUUUCUCGGUUAUGGAGGUGAUAAAGAGUUCGACGUAAAGAGUUACGUCGAUGCAAGCUUAACACCUAUCCGGAUAGCUCUGGGUAGAGAUACCAGAUACAUAUAAUGGAGCAACAAUUUGGAAUAGCUCCAAGUGGAACGUGGUAGCAGCAUCUACGAUAUGACAUAAAGUUUUGCGAAAUACAUAGGGAUCUGAAUAUGGCAAGACCCGUUGACUACAACCUCUCUCACAAGCAUAACAUGAUCAAACCCAGAACUCAUUGAGUGUUAAUCACAUAGUGAUGUGAACUAGAUUAUUGAGUCUAGUAAACUCUUUGGAUGUUGGUCACAAGGCGAUGUGACCUGUGAGUGUUAAUCACAUGGCGAUGUGAACUAGAUUAUUGACUCUAGUGCAAGUGGGAGACUGUUGGAAAUAUGUCCUAGAGGCAAUAAUAAAUUGGUUAUUAUUAUAUUUCCUUGUUCAUGAUAAUCGCUUAUUAUCCAUGCUAGAAUUGUAUUGAUAGGAAACUCAGAUACAUGUGUGGAUAAAUAGACAACACCAUGUCCCUAGUAAGCCUCUAGUUGACUAGCUUGUUGAUCAAUAGAUGGUUACGGUUUCCUGACCAUGGACAUUGGAUGUCAUUGAUAAUGGGAUCACAUCAUUAGGAGAAUGAUGUGAUGGACAAGACCCAAUCCUAAGCCUAGCACAAGAUCGUGUAGUUCGUUUGCUAAAGCUUUUCUAAUGUCAAGUAUCAUUUCCUUAGACCAUGAGAUUGUGCAACUCCCGGAUACCGUAGGAGUGCUUUGGGUGUGCCAAACGUCACAACGUAACUGGGUGGCUAUAAAGGUACACUACAGGUAUCUCCGAAAGUGUCUGUUGGGUUGGCAUGAAUCGAGACUGGGAUUUGUCACUCCAUGUAAACAGAGAGGUAUCUCUGGGCCCACUCGGUAGGACAUCAUCAUAAUUUGCACAAUAUGAUCAAGGAGUUGAUCAUGGGAUGAUGUGUUACGGAACGAGUAAAGAGACUUGCCGGUAACGAGAUUGAACAAGGUAUCAGGAUACCGACGAUCGAAUCUCGGGCAAGUAUCGUACCGCUAGACAAAGGGAAUUGUAUACGGGAUUGAUUAAGUCCUUGGCAUCAUGGUUCAUCCAAUGAGAUCAUCGUGGAGCAUGUGGGAGCCAACAUGGGUAUCCAGAUCCCGUUGUUGGUUAUUGACCGGAGAGUUGUCUCGGUCAUGUCUGCAUGACUCCCGAACCCGUAGGGUCUACACACUUAAGGUUUGAUGACGCUAGGGUUAUAGGGAAAGUAUGUACGCGGUUAUCGAAUGUUGUUCGGAGUCCCGGAUGAGAUCCCGGACAUCACGAGGAGUUCCGGAAUGGUCCGGAGGUAAAGAUUUAUAUAUGGGAAGUCCUGUUUUGGUCACCGGAAAAUUUUCGGGUGCUAUCGGUAACGUACCGGGACCACCGGGAGGGUCCCGGGGGUCCACCAGGUGGGGCUACCUGCCCCAGAGGGCUGCGUGGGCCAAGUGUGAGAGGGGGCCAGCCCCAGGUGGGCUGGUGCGCCCCCACCAGGGCCCAAGGCAAAGAGAGAAGGGAAAAGGGGGAAACCCUAGGCUCAGAUGGGCCUAAGGCCCACCUAGUGGUGCACCCCCCUCUCUCCCCCCUUGGCCGCCCCCUAGAUGGGAUCUAGGGCUGGCCGCCACCCCUAGGGAGGGAACCCUAGGUGGGGGCGCAGCCCCUCCCCUCCCCCUAUAUAUACUUGAGCAAAGGGGCAGCCCAAGAUACGAUUCAAUCUCCCUGUUGGCGCAGCCCUACCCCUCUUCCUCCUCGUCUCUCGUAGUGCUUGGACGUAGCCCUGCUGGAGUCCCGUGCUCCUCCACCACCACCACGCCGUCGUGCUGCUGCUGGAUGGAGUCUUCCCCAACCUCUCCUUCUCCCCUUGCUGGAUCAAGGCAUAGGAGACGUCACCGGGCUGUACGUGUGUUGAACACGGAGGUGCCGUCCGUUCGGCACUAGGAUCAUCGGUGAUUUGAAUCACGACGAGUACGACUCCAUCAAUCCCGUUCACUUGAACACUUCUGCUUAGCGAUCAACAAGGGUAUGUAGAUGCACUCUCCUUUCCCUCGUUGCUAGAUUACUCCAUAUAUUGAUCUUGGUGAUGCGUAGAAAAUUUUGAAUUUCUGCUACGAUCCCCAACAUUAGGUGCCCCUUGGCCACGUAUAUAAAGGAGUGGAGGAGGGGGGAGAGGGCCGGCCCCUAUUGCGCGCCCUGGAGGAGUCCUACUCCCACCGGGAGUAGGAUUCCCCUCCUUCCAAGUAGUAGGAGUAGGAGUCAAGGCAAGGGAAGGGAGAAGAGAAGGAAGGAGGGGGCGCAACCCCUCCCCCUAGUCCAAUUCGGACUAGGCCUUGGGGGGGCGCCCAACCUCUCCUCUCUCUUUCCCCUAAAGCCCAAUAAGGCCCAUAUACUCCCUAGCGAAUUCCCGCAACUCUCCGGUACUCCGAAAAAUACCCGAAUCACUCGGAACCUUUCCGAUGUUCGAAUAUAGUCGUCCAAUAUAUCGAUCUUUACGUCUCGACCAUUUCGAGACUCCUCGUCAUGUCCCCGAUCUCAUCCGGGACUCCGAACUCCUUCAGUACAUCAAAACUCAUAAACUCAUAAUAUAACUGUCAUCGAAACCUUAAGCGUGCGGACCCUACGGGUUCGAGAACUAUGUAGACAUGACCGAGACACGUCUCCGGUCAAUAACCAAUAGUGGAACCUGGAUGUUCAUAUUGGCUCCUACAUAUUCUACGAAGAUCUUUAUCGGUCAGACCGCAUAACAACAUACAUUGUUCCCUUUGUCAUCGGUAUGUUACUUGCCCGAGAUCCGAUUGUCGGUAUCUCAAUACCUAGUUCAAUCUCAUUACCGGCAAGUCUCUUUACUCGUUCUGUAAUACAUCAUCCUGCAACUAACUCAUUAGUUGCAAUUCUUGCAAGGCUUAAGUGAUGUGCAUUACCAAGAGGGCCUAGAGAUACCUCUCCGACAAUCGGAGUGACAAAUCCUAAUCUCGAAAUACGCCAACCCAACAAGUACCUUCGGAGACACCUGUAGAGCACCUUUAUAAUCACCCAGUUACGUUGUGACGUUUGGUAGCACACAAAGUGUUCCUCCGAUAAACGGGAGUUGCAUAAUCUCAUAGUCAUAGGAACAUGUAUAAGUCAUGAAGAAAGCAAUAGCAACAAACUAAACGAUCAAGUGCUAAGCUAACGGAAUGGGUCAAGUCAAUCACAUCAUUCUCUAAUGAUGUGACCCCAUUAAUCAAAUGACAACUCAUGUCUAUGGCUAGGAAACUUAACCAUCUUUGAUUCAACGAGCUAGUCAUGUAGAGGCAUACUAGUGACACUCUGUUUGUCUAUGUAUUCACACAUGUAUUAUGUUUCCGGUUAAUACAAUUCUAGCAUGAAUAAUAAACAUUUAUCAUGAAAUAAGGAAAUAAAUAAUAACUUUAUUAUUGCCUCUAGGGCAUAUUUCCUUCAUGCCCAAAUCUAGGCCGGAUAAGGGGAGGCCCGGGCGCUACCGGUCGCGUCCGCCAUGUCGGACUGAUGAUGGGGUCCCAUAGGAAAACACUCCAAAACCCUGUGGUCUGAAGCUCGUCUCCUCCGUCGGACUGAUGGCGUCACGUGGCGCCGUGAUACGUCUCCAACUUAUCCAUAUUUUUAUUGUUUUAUGCUAUUAUAUUAUCAAUCUUGCAUGCUUUAUAUGUCAUUUUAUAUCUUUUUGUGGACUAGCCUAUUAACUUAGUGCUCAGUGUUAGUUUCCUAUUUUUUUGCAUAUUUCUUUGUUUCGCAAGAAAACCAUACCAAACGAAGUCCAAACAUGAUGCAACUUUACGGUGAUUUUUUUUGACAAGAAGAGAUCCUAAAAGCUUCAUGAGUGAUCUGAAGAUGCACGAGAGAGUGACAAGCUCAAGGGGAACGCCCUAGGGGGCGAUAUUAGCACUUGUGGGACCUACGUGGCUCCGUUUGACCCAAUCUCUGGUCUAUAAAUUCCCUAAAAUCCCCAAACCCCCGAAAUGAGACCUGAAAACAAUUUUAUCGCCGCCACAAGCCUAUGUUCUUUCGCGACCCCAUUUGGAGGCCUUUUUCGAUACUCUGCCGAAGGGGGAAACCAUUGGAGAGGCAAUCUUCAUCAACCUUGUUGCCUCUAUGAUGAUGUAUGAGUAUUCCCACAGGACCUACGGGUCCAUAGUAGUAGCUAGAUGACUUUCUCUCUCUCUCUCUCUCUCUCUCUCUCUCUCUUUCAUCUUCAAUACAAUGAUAUCUUCGAGGAUCUAUUCGAUGUAAUUCUCGCUGUGUGUUUGUUGGGAUCUGAUGAAUUAUGAGUUUAUAAUCAGAUUAUUCAUUGAAAAUAUUUGAGUUUUUUUUCUGAGAUUUAUUUAUGUGUGAUGUUAUAGCAUUGUAUUUCUCUCCGAUCUAUCUAUCUUUUUUGGCUAAUUAGAUCGAUUUAUCUUCAGUGGGAGAGGUGCUUCGUAGUAGGUUUAAUCUUGUGGUGUCCUUACUCUGUGACAUUUUUUUAAUGUCACAAUUUUUUUUUGAAAAGCACAAACAUUUUCUUAUAUGUAACAUAAAUUUUUUAAUGCUACAUGAUUUUUAUUAAUUGCAUAUUUUUUAAAAAAAAUGUCAUAUACAUGAUUUUUAUUGAAUGCUACAAACAUUUUAUAAAUGUUAGCAAACAUUCUUUUUUACAUCCCAUGAAUAUUAUUUAAAUGUGCAUUGAGCGGUUAAAAAAUAAAUCAGUUAUUUUUUAGUAUUUUCCAAAAUAUAAACAAAAGGAAACAUAAAUAAAAAAAUACAUGUGUGACAUUAGCAUGUCGAACCCACAUGACUACUGGGCGGACCCAAUACUGGCUCCCAAGGGUUGUUACUCCAUCAAAGUUCCUCUCGUUAGGGUUUUCCUUCCUCCCGGAGACGAUUCCCAUGCCGCCGUCGAGACCUUCUCCCCCCUUCCCUGACCCCACCUGUGGAACAACUCAAGCUGAGCAAGGGGUGAUCUGGAAUCACCGCCCGACCUUGGUGAUCUUCACAGGUAGGGUUAGGGUUUAGGGUCCUUACCAAUACUCGGUUGGCUCUCAGAUCGGGUUAGGGUUUCGAGUAUGGCAGCGAAUAGCUCGGCAUCGGCAAGGACGUCCGGUGCUGACACAACUGCGGAGAUGGAGAGGAUGAUGGCAGAGCUUGGGCUGAGCGAGGAGGAUCUGGAAGACGUGGUGUACGAUGAGAAGGAGGCGCCGCCGGACUCUGCUAGAUGGAUUGCUGUGGCCCGGGUGAAGGAAAUAUGCCCUAGAGGCAAUAAUAAAGUUAUUAUUUAUUUCCUUAUUUCAUGAUAAAUGUUUAUUAUUCAUGCUAGAAUUGUAUUAACCGGAAAUAUAAUACAUGUGUGAAUACAUAGACAAACAGAGUGUCACUAGUAUGCCUCUACUUGACUAGCUCGUUGACCAAAGAUGGUUAAGUUUCCUAACCAUAGACAUGAGUUGUCAUUUGAUUAACGGGAUCACAUCAUUAGGAGAAUGAUAUGAUUGACUUGACCCAUUCCGUUAGCUUAGCACUUGAUCGUUUAGUUUGUUGCUAUUGCUUUCUUCAUGACUUAUACAUGUUCCUAUGACUAUGAGAUUAUGCAACUCCCGUUUACCGGAGGAACACUUUGUGUUCCACCAAACGUCACAACAUAACUGGGUGAUUAUAAAGGUGCCCUAUAGGUGUCUCCAAAGGUACUUGUUGGGUUGGCGUAUUUCGAGAUUAGGAUUUGUCAUUCUGAUUGUCGGAGAGGUAUCUCUGGGCCCACUCGGUAAUGCACAUCACUAUAAGCCUUGCAAGCAUUGCAACUAAUGAGUUAGUUGCGGGAUGAUGUAUUACACAACGAGUAAAGAGACUUGCCGGUAACGAGAUUGAACUAGGUAUUGAGAUACCGACGAUCGAAUCUCGGGCAAGUAACAUACCGAUGACAAAGGGAACAACGUAUGUUGUUAUGCGGUCUGACCGAUAAAGAUCUUCGUAGAAUAUGUAGGAGCCAAUAUGGGCAUCCAGGUCCCGCUAUUGGUUAUUGACCAGAGAGGUUUCUCGGUCAUGUCUACAUAGUACUCAAACCCGUAGGGUCCGCACGCUUAAUGUUUGUUGACGAUAUAGUACUAUAUGAGUUAUGUAUGUUGAUGACCGAAUGUUGUUCGGAGUCCGGGAUGAGAUCACGGACAUGACGAGGAACUACGGAAUGGUCCGGAGAUAAAUUUUGAUAUAUGGGAUAAUAGUGUUUGGUCACCGGAAGGGUUCCGGAAUUCACCGGAAGGGGUUUCAGAUGUUUCCCGAAAUGUUUGGGUACGAGAACACUUUAUUUGGGCCAAAGGGGAAAGCCCACAAGGUUUUUGGAGUCCAGGGGCCAGACGCCAGGGUCCCUAGUGUCUGGGUCCAAACGCCGGGAACCCUGGCGUCUGGCCCUGGAGUCCGAGAAGGACUCUUGCCUUUCGGGUGAAACCGACUUUGUGGAGGCUUUUACUCCAAGUUUCGACCCCAAGGCUCAACAUAUAAAUAGAGGUGUAGGGCUAGCACCCAAGACACAUCAAGAAACACCAAGCCGUGUGCUGGCAACCCCGUCCCCUCUAGUUUAUCCUUCGUCAUAGUUUUUGUAGUGCUUAGGCGAAGCCCUGCGGAGAUUGUUCAUCACCAACACCGUCACCACGCCGUCGUGCUGCCGAAACUCAUCUACUACUUUGCCCCUCUUGCUGGAUGGAGAAGGCGAGGACGUCACCGAGCCGAACGUGUGCAGAAAAUCGGAGGUGACAUGCUUUCGGUACUUGGAUCGGUCGGACGUGAAGACGUAUGACUACAUCAACCGCGUUGAUAUAAUGCUUCCGCGAAUGGUCUACAAGGGUACAUAGACAACACUCUCCCCUCUCGUUGCUAUGCAUCACCAUGAUCCUGCGUGUGCGUAGGAUUUUUUUUGAAAUUACUACGUUCCCCAACAGUGGCAUCCGAGCCAGGUUUUAUGCGUAGAUGUCACAUGCACGAAUAGAACACAAGUGAGUUGUGGGCGAUAUAAGUCAUACUACUUACCAGCAUGUCAUACUUUGGUUCGGCGGUAUUGUUGGAUGAAGCAGCCCAGACCGACAUUACGCGUACGCUUACGCGAGACUGGUUCUACCGACGUGCUUUGCACACAGGUGGCUGGCGGUGUCAGUUUCUCCAACUUUAGUUGAACCAAGUGUGGGUACACCCGGUCCUUGCGAAGGUUAAAACAGCACCAACUUGACAAACUAUCGUUGUGGUUUUGAUGCGUAGGUAAGAACGGUUCUUUCUAUGCCCGUAGCAGCCACGUAAAACUUGCAACAACAAAGUAGAGGACGUCUAACUUGUUUUUGCAGGGCAUGUUGUGAUGUGAUAUGGUCAAGACAUGAUGCUAAAUUUUAUUGUAUGAGAUGAUCAUGUUUUGUAACCAAGUUAUCGGCAACUGGCAGGAGCCAUAUGGUUGUUGCUUUAUUGUAUGCAAUGCAAUCGCCCUGUAAUGCUUUACUUUAUCACUAAGCGGUAAUGAUAGUCGUGGAAGCAUAAUAUUGGCGAGACGACAAUGAUGCUACGAUGGAGAAUAAGGUGCCGCGCCGGUGAUGAUGGUGAUCAUGAAGGUGCUUCGGAGAUGGAGAUCACAAGCACAAGAUGAUGAUGGGCAUAUCAUAUCACUUAUAUUGAUUGCAUGUGAUGUUUAUCUUUUAUGCAUCUUAUCUUGCUUUAAUUGACUGUAGCAUUAUAAGAUGAUCCCUCACUAAAUUAUCAAAGUAUAAGUGUUCUCCCUGAGUAUGCACCAUUGCGAAAGUUCUUUAUGCUGAGACACCACGUGAUGAUCGGGUGUGAUAGGCUCUACGUUCAAAUACAAUGGGUGCAAAACAGUUGCACACGCGGAAUACUCAGGUUAAACUUGACGAGCCUAGCAUAUAACAGAUAUGGCCUCGGAACACGGAGACCGAAAGGUCGAGCGUGAAUCAUAUAGUAGAUAUGAUCAACAUAGUGAUGUUCACCAUUGAUACUACUCCAUCUCACGUGAUGAUCGGAUAUGGUUUAGUUGAUAUGGAUCACGUGAUCACUUAGAGGAUUAGAGGGAUGUCUAUCUAAGUGGGAGUUCUUAAAUAAUAUGAUUAAAUUGAACUUAAAUUUAUCAUGAACUUAGUACCUGAUAGUAUCUUGCUUGUCUAUGUUGAUUGUAGAUAGAUGGCCCGUGCUGUUGUUCCGUUGAAUUUUAAUGCGUUCCUUGAGAAAGCAAAGUUGAAAGAUGAUGGUAGCAAUUACACGGACUGGGUCCGUAACUUGAGGAUUAUCCUCAUUGCUGCACAGAAGAAUUACGUCCUGGAAGCACCGCUAAGUGCCAAGCCUGCUGCAGGAGCAACACCAGAUGUUAUGAAUGUCUGACAGAGCAAAGCUGAUGACUACUCGAUAGUUCAGUGUGCCAUGCUUUACGGCUUAGAACCGGGUCUUCAACGACGUUUUGAACGUCAUGGAGCAUAUGAGAUGUUCCAGGAGUUGAAGUUAAUAUUUCAAGCAAAUGCCCGGAUUGAGAGAUAUGAAGUCUCCAAUAAGUUCUAUAGCUGCAAGACGGAGGAGAAUAGUUCUGUCAGUGAACAUAUACUCAAAAUGUUUGGGUAUCAUAAUCACUUGAAUAAACUGGGAGUUAAUCUUCCUGUUGAUAGUGUCAUUGACAGAGUUCUUCAAUCACUGCCACCAAGCUACAAAAGCUUCGUAAUGAACUAUAAUAUGCAAGGGAUGAAUAAGACUAUUCCCGAGCUCUUCGCGAUGCUAAAAGCCGCGGAGGUAGAAAUCAAGAAGGAGCAUCAAGUGUUGAUGGUCAAUAAGAUCACCAGUUUCAAGAAAAAGGGCAAAGGGAAGAAGAAGGGGAACUUCAAGAAGAACAGCAAACAAGUUGCUGCACAGGAGAAGAAACCCAAGUCUGGACCUAAGCCUGAGACUGAGUGCUUCUACUGCAAGCAGACUGGUCACUGGAAGUGGAACUGCCCCAAGUAUUUGGCGGAUAAGAAGGAUGACAAAGUGAACAAAGGUAUAUGUGAUAUACAUGUUAUUGAUGUGUACCUUACUAAUGCUCGCAGUAGCACCUGUGUAUUUGAUACUGGUUCUGUUGCUAACAUUUGCAACUCAAAACAGGGGCUACGGAUUAAGCGAAGAUUGGCUAAGGACGAGGUGACGAUGCGCGUGGGAAAUGGUUCCAAAGUCGAUGUGAUCGCGGUCGGCACGCUACCUCUACAUCUACCUUCGGGAUUAGUAUUAGACCUAAAUAAUUGUUAUUUGGUGCCACGUUGAGCGUGAACAUUAUAUCUGGAUCUUGUUUGAUGCGAGACGGUUAUUCAUUUAAAUCAGAGAAUAAUGGUUGUUCUAUUUAUAUGAGUAAUAUCUUUUAUGGUCAUGCACCCUUGAAGAGUGGUCUAUUUUUGCUAAAUCUCGAUAGUGGUGAUACACAUAUUCAUAAUAUUGAAGCCAAAAGAUGUAGAUUUGAUAAUGAUAGUGCAACUUAUUUGUGGCACUGCCGUUUAGGUCAUAUCGGAGUAAAGCGCAUGAAGAAACUCCAUACUGAUGGACUUUUGGAACCACUUGAUUAUGAAUCACUUGGUACUUGCGAACCGUGCCUCAUGGGCAAGAUGACUAAAACGCCGUUCUCCGGAACUAUGGAGAGAGCAACAGAUUUGUUGGAGAUCAUACAUACAGAUGUAUGUGGUCCAAUGAAUGUUGAAGCUCGUGGUGGAUAUCGUUAUUUUCUCACCUUCACAGAUGAUUUAAGCAGAUAUGGGUAUAUCUACUUAAUGAAACAUAAGUCUGAAACAUUUGAAAAGUUCAAAGAAUUUCAGAGUGAAGUUGAAAAUCAUCGUAACAAGAAAAAUAAAGUAUCUACGAUCUGAUCGUGGAGGAGAAUAUUUGAGUUAUGAGUUUGGUCUUCAUUUGAAACAAUGCGGAAUAGUUUCACAACUCACGCAACCUGGAACACCACAGCGAAAUGGUGUGUCCGAACGUCGUAAUCGUACUUUACUAGAUAUGGUGCGAUCUAUGAUGUCUCUUACUGAUUUACCGCUAUCGUUUUGGGGAUAUGCUUUAGAGACGGCCGCAUUCACCUUAAAUAGGGCACCAUCGAAAUCCGUUGAGACGACGCCUUAUGAACUAUAGUUUGGUAAGAAACCAAAGUUGUCGUUUUUGAAAGUUUGGGGCUGCGAUGCUUAUGUGAAAAAGCUUCAACCUGAUAAGCUCGAACCCAAAUCAGAGAAAUGUGUCUUCAUAGGAUACCCAAAGGAGACUGUUGGGUACACCUUCUAUCACAGAUCCGAAGGCAAGACUUUUGUUGCUAAAUUCGGAGUUUUUCUAGAGAAGGAGUUUCUCUCGAAAGAAGUGAGUGGGAGGAAAGUAGAACUUGAUGAGGUAAUUGUACCUGCUCCCUUAUUGGAAAGUGGUUCAUCACAGAAAAUGGUUUCUGCGACACCUACACCAAUUAGUGAAGAAGUUAAUGAUGAUGAUCAUGAAACUUUAGAUCAAGUUGUUACUGAACCUCGUAGGUCAACCAGAGUAAGAUCCACACCAGAGUGGUGUGGUAAUCCUGUUCUGGAAGUUAUGUUACUAUACCAUGAUGAACCUACGAACUAUGAAGAAGCGAUGGUGAGUCCAGAUUCUGCAAAAUGGCUUGAGGCCAUGAAAUCUGAGAUGGGAUCCAUGUAUGAGAACAAAGUGUGGAAUUUGGUUGACUUGCCCGUUGAUCGGCAAGCAAUUGAGAAUAAAUGGAUCUUCAAGAAGAAGACUGACGCUGACGGUAAUGUUACUAUUUAUAAAGCUCAACUUGUUGCAAAAGGUUUUCGACAAGUUUAAGGGAUUGACUACGAUGAGACAUUCUCACCCGUAGCGAUGCUUAAGUCUGUCCGAAUCAUGUUAGCAAUUGCCACAUUUUAUGAUUAUGAAAUUUGGCAAAUGAAUGUCAAAACUGCAUUCCUGAAUGGAUUUCUGGAAGAAGAGUUGUAUAUGAUGCAACCAGAAGGUUUUGUCGAUCCAAAGGGAGCUAACAAAGUGUGCAAGCUCCAGCGAUCCAUUUAUGGACUGGUGCAAGCCUCUCGGAGUUGGAAUAAACGCUUUGAUAGUGUGAUCAAAGCAUUUGGUUUUAUACAGACUUUUGGAGAAGCCUGUAUUUACAAGAAAGUGAGUGGGAGCUCUGUAGAAUUUCUGAUAUUAUAUGUGGAUGACAUAUUACUAAUUGGAAAUGAUAUAUAAUUUCUGGAUAGCAUAAAGGGAUACUUGAAUAAAAGUUUUUCUAUGAAAGACCUCGGUGAAGCUGCUUACAUAUUGGGCAUCAAGAUCUAUAGAGAUAGAUCAAGAUGCUUAAUUGGACUUCCACAAAGCACAUACCUUGACAAAGUUUUGAAAAAGUUCAAAAUGGAUCAAGCAAAGAAAGGGUUCUUGCCUGUGUUACAAGGUGUGAAGUUGAGUAAGACUCAAUGCCCGACCACUGCAGAAGAUAGAGAGAAGGUUAAAGAUGUUCCCUAUGCUUCAGCCAUAGGCUCUAUCAUGUAUGCAAUGUUGUGUACCAGACCUGAUGUGUGCCUUGCUAUAAGUCUAGCAAGGAGGUACCAAAGUAAUCCAGGAGUGGAUCACUGGACAGCGGUCAAGAACAUCCUGAAAUACCUGAAAAGGACUAAGGAUAUGUUUCUCAUUUAUGGAGGUGACAAAGAGCUCAUCGUAAAUGGUUAUGUUGACGCAAGCUUUGACACUGAUCCGGACGAUUCUAAAUCGCAAACCGGAUACGUGUUUAUAUUAAAUGGUGGAGCUGUCAGUUGGUGCAGUUCUAAACAAAGCGUCAUGGCGGGAUCUACGUGUGAAGCGGAGUACAUAGCUGCUUCGGAAGCAACAAAUGAAGGAGUCUGGAUGAAGGAGUUCAUAUCUGAUCUAGGUGUCAUACCUAGUGCAUCGGGUCCAAUGAAAAUCUUUUGUGACAAUACUGGUGCAAUUGCCUUGGCGAAGGAAUCCAGAUUUCACAAGAGAACCAAGCACAUCAAGAGAUGCUUCAAUUCCAUCCGGGAUUUAGUCUAGGUGGGAGACAUAGAAAUUUGCAAGAUACAUACAUAUCUGAAUGUUGCAGACCCGUUAACUAAGCCUCUUCCACGAGCAAAACAUGAUCAACACCAAGGCUCCAUGGGUGUUAGAAUCAUUACUGUGUAAUCUAGAUUAUUGACUCUAGUGCAAGUGGGAGACUGAAGGAAAUAUGCCCUAGAGGAAAUAAUAAAGUUAUUAUUUAUUUCCUUAUUUCAUGAUAAAUGUUUAUUAUUCAUGCUAGAAUUGUAUUAACCGGAAACAUAAUACAUGUGUGAAUACAUAGACAAACAGAGUGCCACUAGUAUGCCUCUACUUGACUAGCUCGUUGAUCAAAGAUGGUUAAGUUUCCUAACCAUAGACAUGAGUUGUCAUUUGAUUAACGGGUUCAUAUCAUUAGGAGAAUGAUUUGAUUGACUUGACCCAUUCCAUUAGCUUAGCACUUGAUCGUUUAGUUUGUUGCUAUUGCUUUCUUCAUGACUUAUACAUGUUCCUGUGACUAUGAGAUUAUGCAACUCCCGUUUACCGAAGGAACACUUUGUGUGCCACCAAACAUCACAAGGUAACUGGGUGAUUAUAAAGGUGCUCUAUAGGUGUCUCCAAAGGUACUUGUUGGGUUGGCGUAUUUCGAGAUUAGGAUUUGUCACUCCGAUUGUCGGAGAGGUAUCUCUGGGCCCACUCGGUAAUGCACACCACUAUAAGCCUUGCAAGCAUUGCAGCUAAUGAGUUAGUUGCGGGAUGAUGUAUUACGGAACGAGUAAAGAGACUUGCCGGUAAUGAGAUUGAACUAGGUAUUGAGAUACCGACGAUCGAAUCUCGGGCAAGUAACAUACUGAUGACAAAGGGAACAACGUAUGUUGUUAUGCGGUCUGACCGAUAAAGAUCUUCGUAGAAUAUGUAGGAGCCAAUAUGGGCAUCCAGGACCCGCUAUUGGUUAUUGACCAGAGAGGUUUCUCGGUCAUGUCUACAUAGUUCUCGAACCCGUAGGGUCCGCACGCUUAACGUUCAUUGACGAUAUAGUACUAUAUGAGUUAUGUAUGUUGAUGACCGAAUGUUGUUCGGAGUCCGAGAUGAGAUCACAGACAUGACGAGGAACUCCGGAAUGGUCCGGAGAUAAAGUUUGAUAUAUGGGAUAAUAGUGUUUGGUCACUAGAAGGGUUCCGGAAUUCACCGGAAGGGGUUCCGGAUGUUUCCCGAAAUGUUUGGGUACGAGAGCACUUUAUUUGGGCCAAAGGGGAAAGCCCACAAGGUUUUUGGAAAGCGCAAAAGGAAGUUUUGCGGAGUCCAGGGGCCAGACGCCAGGGUCCCUGGCGUCUGGGUCCAGACACCGGGAACCCUGGCGUCUGGCCCUGGAGUCCGAGAAGGACUCUUGCCUUUCGGGUGAAACCGACUUUGUGGAGGCUUUUACUCCAAGUUUCGACCCCAAGGCUCAACAUAUAAAUAGAGGGGUAGGGAUAGCACCCAAGACACAUCAAGAAACACCAAGCCGUGUGCCGGCAACCCCGUCCCCUCUAGUUUAUCCUCCGUCAUAGUUUUUGUAGUGCUUAGGCGAAGCCCUGCGGAGAUUGUUCAUCACCAACACCGUCACCACGCCGUCGUGCUGCCGGAACUCAUCUACUACUUCGCCCCUCUUGCUGGAUCGAGAAGUCGAGGACGUCACCGAGCCGAACGUGUGCAGAACUCGAAGGUGUCGUGCUUUCGGUACUUGGAUCGGUCGGACGUGAAGACGUACGACUACAUCAACCGCGUUGAUAUAACGCUUCCGCGAACGGUCUAUGAGGGUACAUAGACAACACUCUCCCCUCUCGUUGCUAUGCAUCACCAUGAUCCUGCGUGUGUGUAGGAAUUUUUUUGAAAUUACUACAUUUCCGAACACUGGAUGCAUAUCAAGAAAUCAUACAGUCGGUAUUGGUUCUUUAAAAACAUGCGGGCUGCUUGGGAUCUUGCCCAGGACUGCAAGUUCCGUCUGUUGGAGGAUAACCUUUAUACAGUUCAGUUCCUUUUCUUGGGAGAUUGGGAACGGGUGAUGCAGGAGGGCCCUUGGAACUUCCGUGGGAACGCAGUCAUCCUAGCACAGUAUGAUGGCAUAACACAUCCCUCUAUGGUACCAUUGGACACGCUUGACUUUUGGAUUCAGAUCCAUGACGUGCCGGACAAAUAUGCACACCUGGUUGAUGCUCUUGCUAGCAGGGUGGGGGAAGUCCUAUUCUCAGAAAAGCUUUCCCAAGAUUUUGCAGGCAAUUUUUAUCGGGUGUGGGUUAAAAUUAACGUGCUAAAACCUUUGAAGAAUGUUGUCACAAUGGUGAGAGAUGGCACACGUCAGAUUUAUAGAGUUCGGUAUGAAAAACUUCCGAACUGGUGCGCAGUAUGUGGGCAUCUUGGCCAUUUCAAGGAGCACGGGGAUGGGAUCCAUCCACCAUCGUCUAUGUACUUCAAAGAUCUGCGUGCGUCGUGGGCAAUGCGGACUAGAACAGGCCCUGGAGGGGGUCGUGGUCGCAGGGGGGGGGGGCAGAAGUGCACAAGGAGGACGAACAGCAGCCGAGCCAGCUAAGAAACCGAGGUCAAUGGACAUGGAAAUUGCAAACAGAGAACAGACAGGGUUGGAGGGGGAUAUUGACAUGUCUGAACCGAACAGGAAGCGAGGCGACAGGAAGGACGCAGGCCAAGGCAGCGGUAUCUAACACUAGCUCAAAAUCUUUGACAAUCCUCUAGCGAUUGUGCCAUCAGCUACAAACCCCACGAGUCCCCCUCCCAAGAGGGAGCCGAAGAGAGUUAAAGCUUCUGAAGGAGUCGAGGGAAACAAUGAAACAACAAAACCAACUAAGGCGGGCCCCAAUGACGGGCGCCGCCGGGCCCAAUGAGUCCUUGUGUGGAACUUCCGUGGUGCUGGCAAACCCGCGGCAGUUCGAGAGCUUUGCAAUAUGGCGAAGCAGUUUGCCCCCUCUAUUACAUGCAUUGUUGAAACUCAGUUAGAGGGUAGUCGUGUUGAAAAUUUAGCUGAAACACUUGGUUAUGAUAAAGGUUUUGCUGUUAGUAGCUCUGGCAGGAGCGGUGGUUUAGGCGUGUUUUGGAACGAUUCAAUAAAGGUUGAAAUUAUUGGUUAUUCGGAGUAUCAUGUGGAUGUUGAAGUGGAUUCCUUAUUAGGUGUUGACGCAAGAUUUACCUUUGUAUACGGGGAGGCCCAAGUAAACGAGCGUUUCAAAACUUGGAACAUGAUGAGAGGCAUUGCUAGCUCGAGCUCUCUGCCUUGGGCGACCUUGGGAGAUUUUAAUGAAGUCCUAAGAGCAGAUGAACAUGAUGGUGUAGGCAACAGAAGUCAGGCCCAAAUGGAUGCAUUCCAGGACGCAAUCGACACUUGUGGUUUAGCAGAUAUUGGAUAUCAGGGACUCCAUGGACGUCUGAAAAGAGGGUCACAGGUGGCACCUAUACCAGGGUGAGGCUGGAUCGGUGUGUUGCUUCGCCAGAGUGGUCUUUGGCUUUCCCAUCAGCAAAUCUUGAACACAAGAACACGGCCAACUCGGACCAUGCAGCAAUCCUCCUAACUUUGGCCGAUGAGAAUGCUUUUAAUGUCCGGCCACAAUCCUUUAGGCACGAGCUCAUGUGGGAAUGACACCCAGAUUUUAUGGAUAUGGUAAAUGAGAAUUGGAACAGAUCAUCCGCAGCCACAGUGGGGGAGCUGCAAGAAAAAUUGGAAAACCUCUCUAAAGGAUUGUUAGCCUGGGACAGAACAGAGUUCGGAUCAGUUUUGGCAGAGAUAAAAAAACUAAAAACUGAACUUGAUGCAUUGCGUGCUCAGCCAGGAAGGUCAGGGCCGAAUCAUCUAGAGACGAAGGUGAUGGAUCGAUUGGUGGAACUUUACCACCGUGAAGAGAUCUUGUGGCGCCAGCGGGCUAGAAUUGAGUGGUCAUCUCAUGGGGACAAAAACACUUACUUCUUCCACUUGAGAGCGAGUAGAAGAAGAAGGAAGAAUAAGAUUAAGGCACUCCAACGGCCUGAGGCAGCCUCACGGAGGAUACUAGAGAGAUGGAGGAGAUGGUAAAUUCGUUCUACCAACACUUAUACAACUCUAAGGGAGUUCAUGACAUGGAGAGAGUAAUCGGGACCGUAUCACGGAAAGUCACGGAUGAGAUGAAUGCUCAGCUUGAUACGCCCUACCCACAGCAAGAGGUGAAGGACGCCCUGUUUCAGAUGUUCCCCACGAAAUCACCUGGCCCUGAUGGCUUUCCUGCUCAUUUCUUUCAGAGACAUUGGGGGUGUGUGUGGGGAAGAAGUCACUAAGAUGGUGCUAACUUAGUUGAAGGCAAUGAGUCCCCCGAGUGCAUCAACGAGACUAUCUUAGUUUUGAUCCCAAAGGUAAAGGAGCCGAACCAGUUAACUCAAUUUCGUCCAAUUAGCUUAUGCAAUGUCCUAUAUAAAAUUGCUUCAAAAGUGAUCUCGAACCGUCUGAAAGUGGUCCUUCCUGAGAUUAUCUCCCCGGAGCAGUCGGCCUUUGUCUCGGGCAGGCUUAUCACUGACAAUAUAAUUGCAGCUGAUGAAUGCAUACAUUUCAUGAAGAGAAAUAAGGCGAAGAAAAAUCAGCAUUGUGCUUUGAAACUGGAUAUGACGAAAGCCUAUGAUAGGGUCGAGUGGGCUUACCUUUGAGCUAUUAUGAUUAUACUCGGCUUUACACAGAGAUGGGUGGAUAUCGUCAUGGGCAUGGUCCCGUCGGAGAAAUUCUCGGUAAUGUUUAAUGGUAAGAAGUUGGAACAAUUUAUCCCUUCACUAGGUAUUAAACAGGGAGACCCAAUCUCUCCAUACUUGUUCUUGUUAGCAGCAGAGGGCCUUUCGUGCAUGUUAAAAUCUCGAGAUGAGUCAUCAAACCUUAAUGGAGUACAAGUGGCACCCUCGGCGUCGCAUGUAAACCAUCUUCUUUUUGCAGAUGACAGCCUGCUGUUUUUCAAGGCAAAUAGUGUGGGAGCGAAUGAGGUUAACCAGGUCUUGGAUAUGUAUUGUCAAGCAACGGGCCAACGUAUAAACUAUGAUAAAUCAUCAAUAUUUUUCAGCAAGGGUGUUCCGGGAAGUGUUCGAGAUGAGAUCAAGCAAACACUCCAAGUCCCUAAUGAAUCCCUAAAUGAGAAAUAUUUCGGUAUGCCUUCAGAUGUGGGAUCUUCAAAGAACAGUGCCUUUAAGUUCUUGAAAGACAGAUUAUGGAGUAGAAUACAAGGCUGGAUUGAGAAGACUCUAUCCACAGCAGGCAAGGAAGUACUGGUAAAAUCAGUGGCGCAAGCUAUUCCUGUUUUCUCCAUGUCUUGCUUUAAACUUCCUCGGGGAUUAUGUGAACAUCUCAACAUGCUGAUAAGGAAGUUCUGGUGGGGCAGCAAAGAGGGGCACCGAAAACCUAGUCGGGUUUCUUGGAAGGCGAUGACACAACCCAAGGCUAUGGGUGGAUUAGGCUUCAAGGACUUUGAACUUUUUAACCUCGCAAUGUUAGCUAAACAGGGCUAGAGGAUCUUCCAACAGCCGCACUCGUUGAGCGCUCGGAUUCUAAAAAGUGUGUAUUUCCCAAAUACAACAAUACUUCAAGCCGAGUUGGGCUCCCGGCCAAGUCAAGUAUGGAGAGCGCUUAAAGAAGGUGUUGAUGUUUUGAAACUUGGACUGAUAAAACGCAUCGGUAAUGAUAACAGUACCGAUGUAUGGCUGGACAACUGGAUACCCCAAGAUGAAAUGUUGCGCUCUUAUGGAAGCAAGAUUGUUAAUCCACCCAGGUUAGCUUCAGACUAUUUCAACUUAAGCACCGCCUCAUGGGACAAGCAAAAAGUUGAACAGACUAUUAUGCCUAUGGAUGUUGAAGCUAUCCUAGCGAUUCCUAUAUGCAUCCGCAACUUUGAUGAUUAUUGGGCUUGGCACUUUGAAAGGAAUGGUAAGUUCACAGUCCGGUUAGUGUAUAGAAUGAUGGUGGCCAUACGGAACAGAAGGGGCGCUUGGCUCGAAGGAGUGGCUGGACCCUCGACGACAAGUAAUGAGGAGAAGUCAUGGAAGCAGCUUUGGAACGUGCAGGUACCGGCAAAAAUCAGGAUGUUUCUAUGGCGAUUAGCAAGACAAUCCCUCCCCACUGAGGAUGUUCGAGCUCACCGUAAUAUAUCAACUACUAGCUCAUGUUGCUUCUGUGGCUCGCACGACUCGUGGAGACACUCCCUCCUUGAGUGUUCAGUUGCACGGUGUGUAUGGGCCUUGGAGGACGGCGAAACGGUGGAUUGGAUGAUAGCUACGAAGGAACCAAAUGCAAAACAGUGGCUCUUUACCCUCAUGGCGUCCUUGAGUCAUAGCAGCUUCGUUCGGGUGGCGGCGACUUUGUGGGCCAUCUGGACGGCUCGGCGAAAAUAUAUUACACGAAGGAAUCACCCAAAGCCCGCAGGCCAUCUUCUUGUUCGUCAGCAGCUUCAUCCGAGAGCUAGAAUUGGUUCAUGCAAAGCCACAACGCAAUUUGCAGGGAGCUCCUCGAACAACUCCGGCGGUACAUGCAAGGCCAAAAGCACCUCCGAAGGGAUUUGUGAAGAUCCAUGUGGACGGAGCGGUCUACCGAAAUCGACGUGGGACGGCGGCGGCGGUAUGCCGUGACCAGGCGGGCAAUUAUCUGGGCAGUUCGGCGUUGGUCUUGCCAGGGAUCACCGACCCACCCACAUUGGAGGCGAUUGCUUGUAGAGAAGGACUGGCUUUGGCGGAUGAUCUUCUCUUGAGGAACCUAAUAGUCGCAUCAGACUGCAAGCAGGUUGUUGAUGAUAUCAAGCUUCGUAAUCAGGGUUCUUAUGGUUCGGUGAUUACAGAAAUUUUACUUCGCUCUUCGGACUUUAAUUGUAAUUUUGUUUUUGAAAGUCGUUCUUCAAACGGUGAUGCUCAUAGGUUAGCUAAGUAUGCACUAUCUCUCGAUGUGGGGCACCACGUUUGAUUGGUCAACUCUUACAAUCCGAAUUUUAUACCACUCCAUGUAGAUUUUGAUCAAUAAAGCUUAGCGUUUGCCCUAAAAAAAAAGGUGAGCAGUGCUAUUGCCUCGCAUAAAGCAAGACCUAGCCGCGCCCCAAUCUAUGUCUUUCAAUGGUGUAAUUCGAUAAAAGAAGAGUAUCGGCCUGAUAUGGUCACACUAACCACCCCUAGCCCAAUGUGAUAAUGAAACAUUAACGAGGCCAUGAGCAUGUACGUACCUUGUGGCUAUGCCAGGCCCAAACAUCACCAAGUGUCAUGCAGACUAGUGGUUGGGGCCCGCCAAUGGCGGGCCUCCUGAGGCGUUCCUAUGCGGCCCUAUCUUGACUCAGUACAUUUUUCUGUCUUGUUUGAUCCCUAAUCUCAACUCAUGUAACCUUUCUUUACAUGUCUAAGAGAAACACCGAUCCUGCUAAUGGAUGGGACAAAGCUUAUCAGGUUGCUACAAGUUUACAACCAAUUGGUCAUUAUUGUAUGAUUGGGUGCACACAUCAUUUGGUUGGAACACUUCCCCAAGAAAAUUCAAGAGUAAGGUUAGACCUUAUCUAGUCAAGAAUAAAAUGACAUCAAUAUCAACAUAUUCACUUUGCACCUCAAGGCAAUGGGAGAGGUUAACGCAGAUCAUAAUGGAAAGAUGUAUGAGCAGGACGAAGACACUUGUUUUAUAGUCUUGACAUAUAUGAGGAUAUACCAUAAGUUACAUGUAAAAAGUAGCAAUGGGCUUAUAAUAUAGUUUCUAGAAUAAUCUUCAAUGAGAAAUAAACUUGGUAGGGUAAACAAUGAAUUUAUGAUCUUUAAGCUUUAGCCGACACAUCAGUCUUUACAACCUUAAAAUAUACUCUAAAAUAUUCAUAGCUUGAAGGGGCAAGUAGAUUUCCUACAAAAAAAUAAAUAGAAAAUAGUUAGGCGUGGUGACUGGUGAGUGGACAGACACAUUAGUGUGGUCAAAAGGAACAACAACAUUUUAACAUGCCUACAAAAACCAGAAAAUAUGGGAGGACACUGUAAUAUCAUGCAAAGAAGAAAUCAUCUCAGACACUUCUCCCUUUUUAGGAGAACUGUAUCAAACACCUGAGUUGUACAAACCAAAAAUACGAAAUUAGCAACUCUCGGUACUUCCUUCACAUUCAGUUAUAUGAGUUUCAUCAUUUACAACCUGCAAUAUUUAACUCUUGCUAGUCCUUAGAGCUAGAAGUACACAUAUUAGAUUGGGAAGAUCACAUUCAGUUAGUCCAAAUUAAUCAAUGAACUACUCAACUAAGUUUGCUUGUGUAAACAAUAAUAUGCACCCAUCAAUGAUCUGGCUAUGCAAACAACUAUAAUUUAUAAUUUUCUAGGAUCCUCGGGUCUGAGUAUACCUUCACUAAACUGCUGCUCAGGUUGGUCACCUCGGAUCACAUCAGUGCCUACAGCACUUUCAAUAACAGACUUGCUAAAACUUCUUACUACUGGCACGCUUUCCUGCAAAGUAGGUUCGAUCAAAGAGCAUCAAGGGAGAGUGAGUACCUAAAAAUUCUGAAGAUCUAGAACGUAACCUCCUGCAGGCGGCACGCCGUACGAAAGGGGGCAAGGCUGCUGGAUCAAAAUCUCGACGUCCUCUGUCAUCCUCUAGUCAGACUACUCAACUUAUUUUCAUAGACCUGAAUUAAAUGUUAGAAAAAUGAAAUUUCAUGAUUACAUAGAUGAGAUGGUCUAGAAGUAGGGCACUGGAAGAAAGGGGAAGGAAAAUAUCAGGAAGAAGAGAGGAGGGUGUGUACCUGCGUCAACAACACAGUCAAGUAUAUGGAGAAAAGGUCCGCUGUGCACUUGCCUCAACACGACAAUUAAUCGAAAGAACUAUCCUCUGCACCUGUAGCGCUCAGUCCUGUAGAUAGUCUAGUAUUUAAAACAACUCCAUUCUAACUGCAAGAAUACACAUUGUCGCUAGUGAGCAGAACCAUGGCUCCACAUCCAUACUGAUCUUAUUGACAUUUAAAUAUAAACAUGGAUAGUUAGAACCACAUAAAGUACCUGCAGUAGUUCAGGCUGCAUAUCGAGCACUUAAGUACCAAUCUGGUCAGCGAUUACAGUGGCACACAUUGAUGAUGCUCAGUGUUGGUGGUUCAGUUCUAGCAUAUGCACAGAGAAAUGAAAUCACCUUAUAGCAUCUAACAUGUAUUCGUUGUGGUACUGUAUCCUCUUAUCAUCUUGAAGACAUAUUUCAACCUAUCAUGCCUGCCAUAUAUAAGUAGUUAAUUAUCACUGACAAUUUAUUUAAGGGCAAAAAUCUUAUCGGCAGGGAACUAUACAAUCUUCAGCGACUUACCAUUCUUAGUAAUGAACACAGGCAGAUUUCCAUACUUCUUCUUAACAUGUUUCACCAGACUGAACAUUCCCUAGGGAACUAACUAUGUGCAGCAAACUCAAUGCUGCCUGAAAGUAGACAAAUAUUUGUGUAUUAUCAAUUGAACAUGUGAUUAAGUAAGAUAGCAAACAAAAGUUUAGAGAAAACCUGAAGCUGCAAGUAUAUCGUUUUUCCUAUUCUCUUUCCAUGCCUGUAAGCUGCAUAGCACAUGGAGAAAUCAGUAAUAUUGACACUGGAUUAUGGGGAUUAUCAUAUGUUUUUUCAUCAUGACUGACGGAGAUGAGAUGACUGCAGCAUCCGUUGAAGCAUCAUUCAUGACAACUUUUCUGACGUGCAUCCCGUCGUUCCUAGCAUAUAAUGUUGUGUAGUGGUUUAUGCCUAUCAACAAAAGUUAGAUCAAAUUGAGUGUGUUUGCAUACAGAUUCUGAAUAUGCAGAAAGGGUGUUACAUACUAUCCAAGAUUUUGCUGUCCAGCUUAAUCUUAUACUGGUGGCAAUAAAAAGAAAAGCAUCAAAGGAUUAGUACCAGAAGUAAGUUCCUAUGUUUAUCAUAUCUACUUUUACAAAGUUAGGAUGCCUAUUCCUUAUAUGAACUGAUACUUGAACUUUGUAUCUGACACUGAGUACAUAAGAGCUCAAUUUCAGCGAUGUACAUUCAGUAAUGUGUAUAAAUGUCAUGCAAAUACAAUUGUAUUCAGUAAUGCUAUGAAAAUGUCAAUUUUUUUUUGCAUGGAAAAUGUAAGCAGAACACCUUCUACUUCUAAUCUUUGUAUGGAAGUGCAUGAUAAAAUCAACAACACCUACAAGUCAAACUGGGCGUGCCUUAUCCAUAUGCUGCACCAAGCUCUGCAUCUCCAACCUCAACUACAAGACAAUGUCUCCAAGGUAAAAAGGACCAUUCUACUUCUAUAAGUUUGCCCAUGAAAAUAAUAUAUUUUGUACAGUUUAGCGCAAGGAGAGAGGAGCAGGGAAAUACCAGUGGCGGCAGCGGUGGUGGCGCGAUCUUGGCGGAGUAUACCCCGGCGGCGGCGGGAGUCGACGCAACUGGAGUCGAUCUGCGGUGGAGGAGGGAAUCUAAGGGACGACGACGGUGUCCGCUUCAAACUGGAACCUAUAGGCGCAUGGCACAAUGAAAAGCAACCAAUCAAUAUCACUGGAUGGCUGGAUGUAACACAGGACGAAGGGUGGAUUCUGGGUCUAGUUAUACGUCUUAAAUUAAAUCAACAAUGCCACCAUCUACUCAGUUUGCCUAGUUCACAAAUUCUAUUUCGGUGAAUGGCUCCCCCGCGUGAAGCUUGAGGGCAACAUCACCAACAACCUGCACACAAAGGCAGAGCAAAAUUCAGUACGAGAGGAAAUGGUAAAUGGUCACACAAGUCAGCCAGCUUUAAUUCUUUUGCGUCGAAGAUUUCAAUGAUAAUACACACAGUUAAUGAUGAUGGUGGUGACUUCCUUUAUUAAGAAUGAAAUGAUAAUGCACAUGACACGCCUAUCUAAGCAGGGGUUGAAUGAGGUGUCCUUCAGUUCAAAGUAAUUCUAGGAUAUCGAAAAAGGAAGCAACAAUCCACAAAAUCAUGAAUUUAUGCGCAAAGAGAAAGAGGAGGUUGCUAAGUGGCUAAUAUCGAUAAAGAAUAAACCAUUUUGUUUAAGCAUAUAUGUUAUUGUUUACUGAUGCUUUUAGUCAUGAGAAAAAAAGUUCUUCCAACAGAAUACUGCCUUUUCAUACCAGGCCUGUGGCCAGGAAAGCUGAUCAUCCAAAUUGGCACUGUAAUGUUUAAACAGUGUGCUCAUGAAGCCAAUGAGGUAGCUCAUAAAUCAUAUGAUUCUAGUGCUAGUUUUGUUUGAAAAGAUGAUCCACCAGACGUAUUAUAGAGGCUAAUGUAAUUGAUGCUACCUAAUGAUAUUAAAACGUCACAGUUGGCUCAAAAAUAAAUAAAUAAAUGUGGCGCUUCUGAAUCUAGAAGUUCUUUUAACACAAAUAGUAUAAUGUCACUAUAGGAGUUGUCAAGAUAUAACUACUAACGACAACUACAUGAUUGGUAAAUGAGAACCAACUCUGUGUAUUGCAAAGAAACAAGUGCAAACCAACUCUGUGAUUCCUGCAACAUGUGGUGUUAUAAUAACAUUUGGGAAUUUCAGAAUUGGAUCCUCUUGAUCGAAUGGCUCCGUCCAAGCAACAUCAAUGCCUAAACCACCUAAAUGACCUGACUCAAGGUGAUUAAACACAGCCAUAUAGUCCAGUAGGCGCCCUCUGGCAAUAUUGAUGAGAUAUGAUCCCUACAAGAACAUGGCAGUUAUUGAGAAUGGGAGUUCUGCUGUCAGGUGCAUACUUCACAGUUUUCCAAAAAUCAAAAACAGAUCCUAUAUGUAGAUUGCAAAAUAAUAUAUGCACUCUGUAAGUUUUUGUCAUGAAAUAUGUCCAUUUAUGUGUGUGCAAGGAGAGAAAUACUAAAAUAUCAACUCUAUGCCAUGAACCUUAGUUCAUGAUGGAUAAUACCGCCAGCCUGGUAUGGCUAGGUUGAUAGUGGAGGACAGGCUCGAAGAUAAGGCUGAUUAUUUCUUGUUUCAUUAAUAUAUUCUAAGAGGAUCUUCUUUACAUAGAGCCAAACAAUAAAAAACAGGAUAUCUUAUUUCUGCUGGCGUAAGGGCCAGGUUACAAGAUAUCUUCCUAAUUUAAAUAGUUAAAACAUCCCAUAAUUUGUGCCGAUUGGGGUCGGUUAUGCCUGUCACAUGUGUUUCUGCAGCAAGUUUUUUUUCCGAUACCGGUUUUCUUUUUUGGAAUGGGCCGGAAGAACCGAAUUGCGAUAAAUCUCGGAAAUCUCAGAAUUAUUCCGUCUGAAUGUAUUCAAACAAAUUCUUGAUUUUUUUUGCGUCACAAUAUGUAAUUUUAACCUGGCACACACACAUACUCUCACGGAUUCCACUGGUCACCUCGCACAUGCCUUUUUUCCGUGUGGGGUGUGGGUUUUAACCCUCGCUGCUGCACUAUUUUGCUAUGCACCAUUUACAGCUGAAGAAGCUGCAAACAUUGAUGGGACAAUAGGGGAAUCCCCAAGACCUCCAAGGGUGUAAGUUAUGGACCUCACCACCACACGAGGCAGUGAGUUGUGAUAACAUAUGCAUACAGAGCCUAUUUGACAGUCUUAGCAUUUGAAUUCAUUUUUUUUUCAAAAAAGUCGAACAGUUACACUGUUUCUUGGGGGUCAGCGAAAGUUCUGUUCGGUUACCACUCGGAAAAAACCUUGAUCUGCAGUGGUGCACACACACGGCACCCUUUUUGCGGGGAACACACGACGCUUUUUUUUGCGGGGAACACACGAGGCUAUAUGUAUGCAUUUCUUUAUAGACUUUACCAAAAGAGCUGUACAUACAGUAUCAUUCCACGAACGUCUAUGAAUAUUCUUGAUAUCUUUUCCUUUUGAAAACUUGGAGCAGCACGCUUGUUCUUUGAAACAAGAACAUAUGCUCCUGGGAUCACUUUGGCAUUUUCUGAUGGUUAUUCCAAUGAAUACACCAGCACAAUCUGAUCCUCCAACACUAUUCUAAGAUUAAUGUUUCCUCAUAUACAAAUUUUCUUCUUACAGGAUGAAUCAAGAAUGAUGGCUUAUUUAUUCCGUAAAAUAAAUAAAUCUCAGAAGAAGAUUUAAGAAAUGAGAAGAUGUAAAUCUCCUACGAUGCAGACAAGUAUAUUGGAGAAAAAUACAUGUACCUUUUUCAAAGCUGACAGGAACUUGUGAUCCACAAUCCCAACCUAUAAAUAUUUAUAGCUUAGUAACCGCCUAACUGAAGUCAAAUAGAGAUAUUACUGGCAGAAUUUUUAUUAAAUAAAUGAACAAAGAGAAGAAUUAACUGAUUCAUUGUUUAACGUCAUGCAAGUUAUAACUAUGUCAGCUUCUCGAACGAGUUCGUACAUAUCUUCUGGACCACCUUUCUUGUCAACCAGCCCAUCAAGAUCUGCAAUAGCAAUAUUUUGAGAGAGGAAGAUAACACAACAUCUAAUAAGGGAAUGAUACUGCAACUACUGCAGCUUACCACAAGACACUGUAUUUGAUGACCAGUUUCUUUUUGUAGCAAGAAUUUUCACUCCAAAUGGUCUUAGUCUCUUGGCAAUUUCCAUGCCAAUGGCUCCGAACCCCAGGAUAAGUAUCUAGCAUAGUAAAUACAAGUUUCUACUCAAAUGGGAUUUUUCUUGUGGAAAGUAGAUAAAAGUAACUUAUACACGAAAAGCAUACUGUUUUCCCGAAUAUUGCUUCUCCAACUGGAAGGCCCAAGUCCUUCUGAAUGACAGCAGUAUCCAUUUCCUUCUGCAAAUUAUGGCCAAAGUCCAAAACAUGAAUAUUCCAUUACAACUGACAGAAGUAACUUAUAGUUAUUAAACUAAAAAAACUUAUCUUCCAAAUGAUGGAAGCUACAAAGGUAGCUUAUUUAACAAAAAACUGAGUUAAUAUCCGGUACAAAUAUAUGCAACAUGAUGAACCAUGGCUUGAAAUCAGUGUCCGAUUGCCUAAAUUGUUGGAUAUUGUACUAAGUAGGAUCCACGUGAAACAGAAACCAUGUUUAAUAGGCUCAUCAUGUAUUUUUUUCCCAAAUUUCUGCAGCUUGCAGGCCCUUUUAUCAAAUCCAGCGGCUGCCGCAUCAGCAGCUCAAACUGGAACCUACAGGCGCAUGGCACAAUGAAAAGCAACCAAUCAAUAUCACUGGAUGGCUGGAUGCAACACAGGACGAAGGGUGGAUGGCAGGGAGGGAGGGAGCAACGCGAUACCUCGAGCAGGAAGGGGUUGGGGCCGGGGAGGGGGAGGUCGAGGGAGCGCGCGAAGCGCGCAGAGCUGAGCAGCCUCUCGCCGUAGCAGGAGAGGUCCAUGCCGCCGCCCUGGAUGAUGAGCAGGAAGACGAGCAGCGAGGGCCCGGACUCGAAGAGCUCGCCGCCGCACUCCUCUUCCUCACCUUGGACAGCGGCCGCGAUGUCGACCUGAGUCUGGCAAAUCGACAGAUCAGACGAAAGUGGUCACACCGUGCUCGGCAGCGGCGUCGCGGCCCUCCUUCCGCUGCCGUACUCGGGGAAGAAAGGGAGGGGUGAGGAAGCUGGUGUUCGGGCCGGUGCUGGCACUACAGCGAGGAGCCGGUGGUGGAGGCGGCGGAGCUCGGGGCGGGGAUAGAGGCGGCGUACUGUGGUGCCGGGCGGCGGAGGACCUGGGGCAGUGGCGGCGGCAGCCUAGGGAAGGGAGGAAAGGGGAGGUUGCGUAGAAAGAAAAGAAGGCACCGACGUCCUGCGCUUUUUUACUUUUUUUUUCUCUCUCACUAGCACAGUAAAAUUGACGAGGUGCCUUUGAUGCGCACCUUAUUGUUUUGGAUUACGCUAGGUUAUAUUGUUUGCACUAGUUAUGUUUGGUAUCCAUAUGGCCCUUCCACAUCAGUAAUUCAUGCAUGUCAGACAUAAAUUUUUAAAAAAAUAGUUGCAACCCACUAUAUAUUUUCAUAUAUAUACAUGCAACCACGACACAUCAACAAGUCAUACAUGUUAGUCAUAAGUUACUUUUUUUGCACUAAUUAUUUUUUCUAUCCAUGUAACUCUGCAACAUCAGCAAGUCAUGCAUUCUAGUUAUAAUUAACAUUUUUUUCAUUAAUUUUAUGUUGUCAUGCAUACUACAUGUGUUGGACACGAGCGUUCCUAUAUAGUUCAUCCUUCGCAAUUUUGUUAGAAAAUGAAAUUUCGUUAACUGCAAUACAUUUAUUCUCUUUUUAUAUAUAAUUUAAUUACCUGCUUCAAUUUUUUAUUUGUUGUAUUUAAAAAUGCAAAUAGAGAUCACUCUUACAUUGGCUUUGCAUUAGUAUGAGUUUUUUUUUGUAGAAUCUAUUUAUGCAUUUCUUCCAACAAGGUAUCUCCAACAAUGCAUGAGAUGACAUCUAGUGUGAUUAAAAAAAUGCUCAUAUAUCAUAAAAAGGAUGUGCAUGCUAUGGAAAGAAACAUAGAUAUGUUUCAAGUAAAGACAUAUUUCACAUGAAAAUAUUCACGUGUUUACUAAAAAGGAAUAAAAAAUUAAUUCAGAAAUUCAUGUAUAAUAAAUGCAGCGUUCAUGUAUCAUGAAAAUAAAUAAAUAAUAUCAUGAGUCAAAUAAAUACCUAAAUUUACUAUGAUGAAAACUAAAAGCAAAAACACAACAACAGAAAAAUAGAAACGACAAACAAGAAUCACGGAGCAUGGCCGGGGUAUCAUCUAGUGUGAUUAAAAAACGCUCAUAUGUCAUAGAAGGAUGUUCAUGCUAUGGAAAAGAAACAUCCAUCUGUUUCAAAUAAAUAAUUAUAUUGCAGGAGAAUAUUCAUGUGUGGUAUUAAAAAGGAAUAUAAAAUUAAAUAUUUAAAUUCAUGUAAAACAAAGGUAAUGUUCAUGUCUCUUGAAAGUAAAAAAUAAUAAUAUCAAUAAUUAAAUAAAUAACCUAAAAUUAGUAAAAUGAAAACUAAAAACAAAAGCAAAACAAGAGGAAAAAAAUGAUAAAUGAGAAUAAGGAAAAAAGGAAAUAGAAAAAGGGUAGCAGAAGAAAUAAAGAAGCAAAAUCACUUUCGAACACAACCACUCAUGCAGAAGCUUCAGGCUUUGGCUCCCUUAUUUGCCACAACGUGCCGCAAAUAGGGUUUGCCGUCCGAGGCAAGAGGGAAAUGGUACACGUAAAUCCAAUUUCUUGUGACUGAGCUAUAUUUGUAAUUUCAAGUUCUAAAAAUUACAGAAAAAAUCAUGCACAUUGAAAUGGGAGUAGCAGGUUUUUAUGAAAAAGAAUAUAAUCACUCGCCACUCGCCAGCCGUACAAAAAAAAAAA